UUUUUUUUCGUUUGGGCACAUUAAGAAGUCUGCGUGUGGCGGUCGAUAAGAUUUGUGGAAUUGGUAUCUUUAGAAAUCAACGGUUAGAUGUUCGCAUAUUUUAAAGUAUUUUUCUAUAUUUUGGUUAUCCUUUAAUGUACUCUUAAUAUAUAAUAGGUACGUAUCAAGUUACUUAGUCCCUGAAGGAAAUAUGCCCUAGAGGCAAUAAUAAAGUUAUUGUUCAUUUUCUUAUAUCAUGAUAAAUGUUUAUUAUUCAUGCUAGAAUUAUGUUAACCGGAAACAUGAUAGAUGUGUGAAUACAUAGACAAACAGAGUGUCACUACUAUGCCUCUACUUGACUAGCUCGUUGAUCAAAGAUGGUUAUGUUUCCUAGCCAUAGACAAAGACUUGUCAUUUGAUUAACGGGAUCACAUCAUUAGAAGAAUGAUGUGAUUGACUUGACCCAUUCCGUUAGCUUAGCACUUGAUCGUUUAGUAUGUUGCUAUUGCUUUCUUGAUGACUUAUACAUGUUCCUAUGACUAUGAGAUUAUGCAACCCCGUUUACCGGAGGAACACUUUGUGUGCUACCAAACGUCACAACGUAACUGGGUGAUUAUAAAGGUGCUCUACAAGUGUCUCCGAAGGUACUUGUUGGGUUGGCGUAUUUCGAGAUUAGGAUUUGUCACUCCGAUUGUCAGAGAGGUAUCUCUGGGCCACUCGGUAAUGCACAUCACUUAAGCCUUGCAAGCAUUGCAACUAAUGAGUUAGUUGCGGGAUGAUGUAUUACGGAACGAGUAAAGAGACUUGCCGGUAACGAUAUUGAACUAGGUAUUGAGAUACCAACGAUCGAAUCUCGGGCAAGUAACAUACCGAUGACAAAGGGAACAACGUAUGUUAUUAUGAGGUUUGACCGAUAAAGAUCUUCUUAGAAUAUGUGGGAGCCAAUAUGAGAAUCUAGGUUCCGCUAUUGGUUAUUGACCGGAGACAUGUCUCGGUCAUGUCUACAUAGUUCUCGAACCCGUAGGGUCCGCACGUUUAAAGUUCGAUGACAGUUAUAUUAUGAGUUUAUGUAUUUUGAUGUACCGAAGGUAGUUCGGAGUCCCGGAUGUGAUCACGGACAUGANNNNNNNNNNNNNNNNNNNNNNNNNNNNNNNNNNNNNNNNNNNNNNNNNNNNNNNNNNNNNNNNNNNNNNNNNNNNNNNNNNNNNNNNNNNNNNNNNNNNNNNNNNNNNNNNNNNNNNNNNNNNNNNNNNNNNNNNNNNNNNNNNNNNNNNNNNNNNNNNNNNNNNNNNNNNNNNNNNNNNNNNNNNNNNNNNNNNNNNNNNNNNNNNNNNNNNNNNNNNNNNNNNNNNNNNNNNNNNNNNNNNNNNNNNNNNNNNNNNNNNNNNNNNNNNNNNNNNNNNNNNNNNNNNNNNNNNNNNNNNNNNNNNNNNNNNNNNNNNNNNNNNNNNNNNNNNNNNNAUGGGCCAAGAUGGGCCUUAGUAGAGAAGAGGAGGGGCAGCCAGGGCAGGUAGCGCCCCCUCCCCCUCUAGUCCAAAUUGGACAAGAGGGGGGCGCCCCCCUUUCCUUCCUCUCUCCCUCCUCCUUCCCCCUUCUCCUACUCCUGGUCGGGUGCAAUUUGAUUUCUACUGGAUGAAACCUGUCUCAACUGGGUCAGCACGCAUAAUAGUGGAUAUCGGGCUUUGGUCUAAAUGUACUUAGUAAAGUGGACAAUGGGAGGAAAUCAUAUUUAUUGCUACCCAUUAAUUUACAUAAUCACCAUCUUCAUAUGAAAACUACAGAUUUUGAAUGUUCUCAGUUAAUUAUAUUAUUCUUUCAACAAAAUAGGCGGGCGCGGCAACGCGCGCUCUCAUGUUCUAGUUGAUUGUAAGAAUAGAUUAUUUCUGCUGCUUAAGGAUAUGAUUAGAUUUGGUCCUUUAUAUGAGGCCUACAUCAGUUAAACGAACUCAGUUAAACUGAGUUUGCAAUGAAUCACUCCGACAAAAACGAAAUGGUAACUUAUCCAAGCUGUUGGCUCGCCACAUUCGAUAUCCACCGUUCGAUCUUCGCAAUGUCUUUUUGAAGGGGUACGCUUGUUCUGAACUUAGCUUAAAUGAAGAAGUGAACGGCGACAUUGAAGAAUCAGAGUUGUGACACCGGUGAGCUGGAGAGGCAUGAAGAUCUUGUGCUUGACACGUUUGGGCAAGUUUCUAGUUAUCGGAGAGGGAGUUAACAUCAUGCAAACCCAUACCUAAAGCUAUUUGCGCCAAGAGGGCGUGGAAAACGCGGGAGAAAAUGGAUGGAUUCCGUGCAUCGAACCGAUGGCGAGGUAUGAUGUACCUGAAGGGGAGGAUGAUGCGUCCAACAACAUGGUCACAAUCAUACGUGAGUUGGCUACUUAGGAUACUAGUUGUUCGUAUAUGCUUACAUAGAUACUAACAACAAUGCUACCGCCUAAAUUUCUUCUACAGGAUAUACAACUAGUUGUUCGUAUAUGCUUACAUAGAGAAAAUCAUAAGCUUUUGCUUGAACUGCUGAAGAGAGAGCAGUACACCCGCAAAAAAAAGAAGAGAGAGCAGUAGAUCGGGAAAGGACGUGAACUACCCAUUUUUUGGUAAUAGUAUGUUUACCAAAACUGGGUGUGCACACAUAUGUGUGCACAGAAUCCUCAAUGGAAACGAGGUGGUACAUUGAAGUUUGAUCUCACUGAAAUCUGAAUCCUGUCCAUGCUUGUGACGCUUAAAGAACUUAUCCCAAUGCCUCGCAGGCCUGAUGACAGUGAACGAAAUGGCCUUGUUGCUAAAAUUGACCUCCGUACUGACUUGCAAGACAUCAGUAACCCCAUGGAAAAAUAUCAUGUCUGGUAUACUAGCUGCUCCAUCGGUGCUUGAUAUGUAUAGUGGCUAAAAAGUGAAAGGAUCCCGCCUUACAUUUACGACUUCAUUAUGCACAGUUACUUAUUAAUGGUCCACCUACCAUAGUGGUUCAUCUUUAUCAUAGUUACUCUGUUAAUAAUAAAAGUUAAAAGGGAUGUAGAGAUGAGUGGAUGGAGGCAAUCUGGGUGCAACAAUGAUACGAAAGCGAACCCCUUUGGGUGUUUCAAACAUGGUCAAACAGAAAUACUGGUAUGUGGUGGUAAUCAUGUGUACAACAAAUAGAGUAAGUGUUACAUUAUGUGGAAAUGGGAAACACCUAAAUCACGACCAAAAUGUUGCGGAGCAGCCAAGUAAACCCAGAAAUGACUCGAGUAAUCCAAGGGCAGAGCAACGUAAUCCAACGGAGGGGCUACGUGACAGUUAUUUUUUGGAUGCCCUAAUACUUAAAGGCAUCUCCAAAGCGGUACUGUAAAGGUCCCGUAAAGGUCCAGACCACAUGGUCUGGACACAUUUUGCCAUCCAAUGCAGUCCCCUAAACGUCCGCGAACCACUUUGCAUGUCUGUUUUUCCCCAAACCGAAAUCAACCUUGGGGAGGGGAGGGGGGCUUUGCGGGACUCCGGGCACCAUGCGGAGGUCCACUUGGCCCACUGUCAGUUAGACCACAUGUCCACACAGCCCAUGUAUUUUGCCAUUUAGGUCCGCCUGGGCCACCUCUGCUGUCCGGAUUUGCUAUCUGUUGAGGGACAGGGUUGGAUGACUGGCUCCCUUAUCCUUUCCGCGGACGGAUAGUGUGUCCGUUUUGAGGGAUAGCGUUGGUGAUGCCCUAAGUUUUGCAGGAAACUGUCUCUUGAUUGGACAGAGAGGGGAGGAAUGAGAGACACAGCUUGUCUUGGACACCUCAAAAAAUAUAUCUAAUACGCAGUCAAAAGAUCUUCCUAGGGUCACUAAAGUAUAGAGAGUUUGGACGCACCUUAACCAACCGAAAAUCCCAAAAAUAAAAAGAAAAUACAGCAAAAUAACAAUCUACUAGCAGAAAAAUGUAUUCACUUUUGCUUGAGUUCAUGUUUAGAAUCUUCACAAUUAUAAAGGAAAGGGAAGUUUCGUAAUUAAACUCAUAGAUCCACGUCUUGAUGUACAAAAUUAUGUGGGAUUUCAAUCAUAUGAAAUUCAUAUAAAUUUCUUGUUUCAAAAUGUGCCCUUUAAGUAGAUCCAGGUUUUUUUUAACUUAGGGCAGACAUAAAUUUAUGUUACUUGUACAUGCAUGAUAUAUAUGUGAGAUUAAAGGUCACGACAUUUGAACAAUGCCGGAGGUCCCAUUUUGUAGUUGUAUGUGCUGUUUGGGGAAAAUCUCAAAUCCUAGAGUGCAAGUGCAUCCGACAGCCAAGCCACCCGUCUUUGAAAUAAAUCUCACGUCAUUUCCUCUUUGUCAAAAAAAAAUGAGGUCAUCCCUGGCAUUGUCGUGGACAUUGUUAGCGUAAUCUUGAUUGUCUAGAUUGGAAAGUAUUAGUUUGAUUUAGAUCAAAGCAAGUCUACAUGAUCUUAGUACUAGGUCUGUUCAUUGAUAGUUAAUUAAGUCCAGCUAUGACUAGUACUCAAGACGUGCCUAGUAUACGUGGGACAAGUUGUAGCCAAGAGAUUAGGACUCUACUAUUAGGAACAUGCUCACACAUAGCCAGGUCAUAAGCUUAUACACCGAGGUAUUGGGAGAAAAUAGAGGGCAUGAUAAAGGCCCUUGGCAACAAGUUUUUGUGUGCGUGUGAGGAUAGUUUGUUGAUUUUUGAUGUGAAUGAUCUAAGGGUGAAAUCCAACAGAUAUUGCAGUGGUACCGAACAUAUAUGCAGGCCCAAACAUGCCUAUGAAUGCUGACUAUCACUCUACCAGCGUGCACAAAAUCAGCACACUCUUAACCGAAGCACCCUCCAGUGAAGCUUGACCUCGCAGGAAUUUGAAGCCUACGAUUGCCAACCAUUGUUACAAAAACAUCCCAAUGCCUCACAUGCUCGACGACGUCCAAUGGAGUGCCCUUCUUGCUAAUGAUUUUGUGCUAACCAGCAGGACAAUGGUAACUCUAUAAAAUGUUAAACCUUGUAGACUGGUUUUUUUAGCAGAACCUUGUAGACUAGUUGUUCAAUCGAUCUGUGCUCGUUAUGUAUGCACUCAUUUUGUACUCAUUAUGUACGUACGCUACAAAGAGGACGGAUCCUCCGUACAUUUAUGGUUUGAUUAUAUUAUAACAUUUUUUGAUAGUUUACCUACUACAUUGCUUCAUCUUCAUCACCGUAAGUUACAUGUUUAAAAGUAACUUAAAUGAAAACAUAAGCCUAUAAAUAGAAAGUUACCUCCUAGGAGGCAAGGUAAGAUAUUAAUUCAAUCUUAGCCGUCCAUUGUUCAAGGAUAUGUUGGGUAAUCUGAAUACUAUAAGGAUACUAAUUAUUAUUUUUCGAAAAUAGGAAGUUAGAAUGAUAGCAUUAUUGAUGUUUUGUACCAAACUAAGGUUCAAAUAGCUAAUGCUAUAUAUACCAUACAUUGACUAAAAUUUCAUAUAACCACCGCAAUUGCAUAAAUCUCAAAAAUAACACCAUCGAAUAACAGUUUGUAAAAGACCACCGAUGUACAAUUUUAUUUUAUUUUACUGAAAGCAAUAAACGCUCGUUUCAGCGUGCUUUUGACACGAAAUCUGACAAGAGGGAGCCCGCCAUCAGUCCUAUGUGGCAAUCAAAACUCAAAAUGUUGGACUGGAUCGUUAGUUUGUCUUAUGGGGGUGCCGUGGGUGCCCUGGCGCCCCCUCCAAAAUGAAAACUUUUUUUAUCUGGUAGUAGCAGUUAGUCUAAUCCAAUGUGUAUUAUUUGGUUAUUAGAAUGAUAAAGUGACUCAUUUUUAUGGUUAUGCAAGGCAUUUCUAUUGAGUGAUAAGGUUGGCACCCCCUGUGGUCAAGCUCUAGGUCCGCCACAGGCUGCGCCGCCACCUCAUCCUCCGACGCCAUAACGAGCGCUUACAUGGCAAGUAGUGGCACGGGGACUGCUAUCACGAGGUUUGGGAGAAAGAGGAGAGGUGACCACCUCCUCAUGUGGCCCUCGAGGGAGACAACGCUGGCAUACACGGUGAUGCGGGACGCCGCCAGAGAUCUUUCACGGUACCAAACGAAUCACAACUAGUAGCAACUAACUCUCAAGUGGCAAAGCACAGUAGGAAACACACUCGAGAUAUUGUAGCGGAUAACUAGCUUGGUUUACAAAGAUGCAACACAAAACAUUAAACUUUUGAGCCUAGUAGAAUGAGGAUGCGACCACAAAAAUCCUAAAUGGAUUUAGGACAUGCCUUUCAAUCCAUACAAAAGAGUUAACACUAAAUGAAACUAAUGCUCACAAGGCAACACAACAUAACAAAACACUACACAAACAUUCUCGACUCUCACUCUUCUCCUGGUAGGAUCGACGCUCCACGGCCUGGAGAGGAAUGGGAGGUGACCCUCUCCGAAGGUGGCUUGGUAUGUUCUAUACAAUGAUAUCCAGUGGUUUCUCAAGGCGAAACAGUUCCCUCCUAUUUAGUAGUCCAGGUUGGUUCCAGUUAGGUGUGAUGUCUUCUAUAUUCAUGAUUGGCGUUGAGUUGGUAGCAUUUUUACUACUCGCUCAGAUGGUGUUUUCCUUUUGACUUGCUUUUUUUGAGGAUUUUCUCGUCAGUUCGGCCAUUUGAGCUUUAUAGAAGCUGGGCGAAAGCAUAUUAAAAGACUUUGGCCUUUCUAUUUUACUGUGGCAUCCUUUCUGCGUCGGGAGAAAACGGUAAACUUUAGUUUCAUGAACAUACUCGUAGUUGUCUCGACAUCACGAAGCUUGGCUGCCCUCAUGGCAUGCCCUAACUGCAGGACGUCCGCAUUAGGUUGGUCCCGGAUCCGGUUACUGACACGCCUGCUAGCCGGCACCGGAUCAAGGAUCCCCCCGAACGCAAUAACCUCUUCACUGGUCCUCUCCCUCAGGGACAUGGGAGGCAAGGCCGACAGGUCACCACCACCUGUAAUUACGCACGUCGAACCGUCCGUCUGCGAAACCAAGCACCUGCCAACAAGAGUCGGUGAAGCCGGAGCCUACCUAGGCUCCGAACGGCGAAGAGGAGGAAGAGAGUCACGGGCCUCCUGCCCACCACUCCCCUUCCCCUCAACACUGGUCAGGCGCCAGGCAGGGUCAGCUCGCGUCGGUGAAGCUGGAGCCUGCCUAGACUCCGAACGACGAAGACGAGAAGGUGAAUCACGGGCCUCCUGCCCACUACUCCCCUUACCCGGAACACUGGCAAGGCGCCAGGCAGGGUCAGCUGGCGGCUGGGAGUCCUGCUGAAUCCGGCCCUAUGCCGGCGCGAUGUCUCACUGGUGGAAAAAAGGCCUUUAGUCGCGGUUGGCAACGGCCAUUAGUCGCGGUUGCGCAACCGCGACUAAUUAAGCGCNNNNNNNNNNNNNNNNNNNNNNNNNNNNNNNNNNNNNNNNNNNNNNNNNNNNNNNNNNNNNNNNNNNNNNNNNNNNNNNNNNNNNNNNNNNNNNNNNNNNNNNNNNNNNNNNNNNNNNNNNNNNNNNNNNNNNNNNNNNNNNNNNNNNNNNNNNNNNNNNNNNNNNNNNNNNNNNNNNNNNNNNNNNNNNNNNNNNNNNNNNNNNNNNNNNNNNNNNNNNNNNNNNNNNNNNNNNNNNNNNNNNNNNNNNNNNNNNNNNNNNNNNNNNNNNNNNNNNNNNNNNNNNNNNNNNNNNNNNNNNNNNNNNNNNNNNNNNNNNNNNNNNNNNNNNNNNNNNNNNNNNNNNNNNNNNNNNNNNNNNNNNNNNNNNNNNNNNNNNNNNNNNNNNNNNNNNNNNNNNNNNNNNNNNNNNNNNNNNNNNNNNNNNNNNNNNNNNNNNNNNNNNNNNNNNNNNNNNNNNNNNNNNNNNNNNNNNNNNNNNNNNNNNNNNNNNNNNNNNNNNNNNNNNNNNNNNNNNNNNNNNNNNNNNNNNNNNNNNNNNNNNNNNNNNNNNNNNNNNNNNNNNNNNNNNNNNNNNNNNNNNNNNNNNNNNNNNNNNNNNNNNNNNNNNNNNNNNNNNNNNNNNNNNNNNNNNNNNNNNNNNNNNNNNNNNNNNNNNNNNNNNNNNNNNNNNNNNNNNNNNNNNNNNNNNNNNNNNNNNNNNNNNNNNNNNNNNNNNNNNNNNNNNNNNNNNNNNNNNNNNNNNNNNNNNNNNNNNNNNNNNNNNNNNNNNNNNNNNNNNNNNNNNNNNNNNNNNNNNNNNNNNNNNNNNNNNNNNNNNNNNNNNNNNNNNNNNNNNNNNNNNNNNNNNNNNNNNNNNNNNNNNNNNNNNNNNNNNNNNNNNNNNNNNNNNNNNNNNNNNNNNNNNNNNNNNNNNNNNNNNNNNNNNNNNNNNNNNNNNNNNNNNNNNNNNNNNNNNNNNNNNNNNNNNNNNNNNNNNNNNNNNNNNNNNNNNNNNNNNNNNNNNNNNNNNNNNNNNNNNNNNNNNNNNNNNNNNNNNNNNNNNNNNNNNNNNNNNNNNNNNNNNNNNNNNNNNNNNNNNNNNNNNNNNNNNNNNNNNNNNNNNNNNNNNNNNNNNNNNNNNNNNNNNNNNNNNNNNNNNNNNNNNNNNNNNNNNNNNNNNNNNNNNNNNNNNNNNNNNNNNNNNNNNNNNNNNNNNNNNNNNNNNNNNNNNNNNNNNNNNNNNNNNNNNNNNNNNNNNNNNNNNNNNNNNNNNNNNNNNNNNNNNNNNNNNNNNNAUCCUCCACGUCGGCGGGGUGAUGCUUUAACACAUGUCCAUUAACGAUGUGUGGGUCAAUGAACCCAACAUCAUGGAUGUUCCUUACUCUGCAUUCCUUAAUCUUCAUUCUGCAUGUAUAAUAGCGGACAGAACAAUAUAGUUAGGACAUAUAUAUAGUGCAGGCAAUAUGAACGAGAUGGGGUAGAAAUAAAUCACUUACAGAACGUAGCAACUGAUGAUAGAUUUGUCGAGCGCGCGCAGAUUGAAAAGCUGGAACAAUUCACUCAGCUGAACUGGUACAGAGUAAUGUUUGAAGUGAUGCUCAUGUCUAACUUCCGCUAAAAUAUAUUCUUUGGCGUUUUUAUUUUUUAUGUAACCCUUGUACCAUUGCAGCAGACCUUUCAUUUGUGGAGGUAGGCUCUCUUCCUGCGCAGGCUCGACGAGAGGCCCAUUCUUCACAUAUGUAAUUACGACCUCCUUCAUUGGCGCUUCAUCAAGGCCUAACAGUGCACGAAGAGUCAUACCAAAGUUGGCCGCUUGUUCUCUGGCACUCGUUACAGUCAAUCCCAGUGCUUUCGCAGCUUGUAUGAUCUCGGGGGUAUCCGGACCGGCGGCUUCCACUAUAAGCGGGGCAAUCGAUUGUUUACUUUGUUCCCCGAGCUGGGCAACUUGUUUCCCGCUUUUUUUACUUUCGGCCUUCUCCCGCUCUCUGUUCUCCUUGAAUAUGAGUGCCUGCUUGCGAAGUUCACGUGCAUAGUCCUCAGGCAGAUUCUUCGCGGCUUGGGACGGUGUGUUCAAAAAUUCCUUAGCCCACUUCUUUUGCUCAUCAGAAAAUACUUGCUUGGGCUCGGGCUCUCUUGACUUCCUGCAGUCCGCCUUCCAUUUCUCCAAAUGAGCAGCCGCGGCCGCGUCGCCUUCCUCGGCACUAAGUUCCCAAGGCCUUGUGGGGAGAGGCUUCAGUGAUGGCUCCGGUACCUUUGUGGUCUUAGGUACAUAAGGGUCCGGGUUAAUAAUCCAGGACGGCUUCUGCUUCUUUGCCGGAGGUGGAUUGGGGGGCGGCGUCUGAUCACCCGCCGGACGAGGACUGGGGGGUGGACUUGUUGUCCUUGGCGCCUCGCCUGGAAACUUGAUAAACUUCUUUUGCCAUAGAAUGAACUGGCGCUUGACAUCUCCAAGUCUUUUCUCCCCUUCAGGUGUAGCAAUGUCAAUGUCCAGGUCCUCAAACCCUUUGACUAGGUCCUCAAAGGUUAAAGUUGCUAACCGCGAUCGAGGAGUGUGGCUCCAACACUUCAUGUCAUGUUUGUUUCAUGCUCUUGGGCAUUUCAUCAAACACCUUAUGUGCAUAAGAGGAACCAAAAGCAAACCUAACACCCCUUGUGAAGAGAAUGGCUCCAAAUGGCUAAGUGUUGGCUGCUGGAUGGGUAUAUAUAGGGGAGGGGCUUUAGUCGCGGUUGGCCUGGCAAACCGCGACUAAAGGUGCCCGAAGGCCUUUAGUCGCGGUUGUCCUGGCCAACCGCGACUAAAGCCCCUCCCCUGCACCAGCUGGCCACCGAGCGCCCUGGGCCCAGGCCUUUGGUCGCGGGUCACCUAUAGAACCGCGACUAAAGGUCCCAUUAGUCGCGGUUCAUAAGUCGCCGCGACUAAUGGGGCUGAACUGAAGCCUGUUUUUCCACCAGUGUCUCGGCGCAUCCUAUGUCCCCAUCGUAUCAGCCACCAUCGGCACAACAUCCAUCCGAAUCAAUAGCUGAGCCGGGGCACCGUCUGUCAAAGAAAUACACUCCUCUCUCGAAACUAGUGGCAACAUAAGCUCAGAUGGAUCCCCCGACUCUAUCCUAAAGCUCCAUAAGCGACUAGGUGCAGAAGAAACACCAAACGAAUCGAACCGCAACAAGUUCGUUGGCACCGGUGUUUGGGUAGAACCCAUCUGCCUUCCUAGACUGUGCCACCGACUCCUUGGUCACCUCACAUGAGCCAUUAUUAGCACUGUUGUCCUUUCCUCCAGCUGUACCAUCUCCCUAUGUCAUGUCCAUGUCCUGAUGCUCAUCCCCCUCCUGGAACAAAGGUGUGUCCUCAACCUCCACAUCCAGGUCAUAAGUGACCCCCGCAUGAGUCCACUUGACCACAUCCGGUACAAACUCAAUAUUGACCACACUGACAAGCAGCCUUGCCACGCCAUGCAUAUCCGCAACCUCCACCUAAGGACGACGAACCUCAGUUAACUAUGCUUGUUUACGGUUAGACUGAAAAUUAUCUUGCUUGAUGAAAAGAUGUGCACAGUAUCUACAAAUCUCUAAAAAGUAAAAAAAAAAAGAAUAGGAUGGACGAAAAAGAAAUCAGAGGACAGACAUGUGCCAUUUGAUUCAGUGAGUUAUUCCAUUUUUUCCCUACAUUACACUGCAUACAGAAUUUUUAAACAAAAUAAUCAUAAAUCUAAUGAUAUUGACAACAUUUCUUGGAAAAAUGAUACGACAACCAGAAAGUUUACAAAGCAAGUGUUGUCCAGAAUAACACAACUACAACGUUCUAUUAACCAACACUAAAAAAUGGAGCGUUGGUGAGCCAGCCGAAUUUCAGAGAACCAGGAAGUUUAAAACAGCUCAAGUGUUCUCCAAAAUAACACAAAACGUCCUCUUAAGGAACAUUACAAAAUGGAGCAUUGGCAAACCAAUGGAAUUACACAAGAUGUUUUCUGUAGUUUGCUAGGUUAUUUAUGGUCAUUGCUAGUUAUGGAGCAAUUCCUGACAGAAAACAAUCGUAUGCAAUAUCUUGGAGCAGUGACAAACAAUAUUCAAUUAACAAUUCGAAGUUCAGAAAAAGUUUGCUAGUUUUUUUAUAUACACACUUUACAGUCCUGCUUUACAUCAAGGGACUACAACUAGGAAAACAAUGAAGAAAAAACAGGAAAAGGAUUACACAUUUUGCUGCAUUUCGAGAAAAAAAUUAAUCUUUGGAGAUUGAGUCCUAUAUAUAUUCUGUCUAAACUUUGGUAGUUUAGUCUCUCCUCCCUAAAGAAGCUAGUUUGAUAAAACUGUCCUCUGGACAGUAUGUACCCUGUUAUGAUCCCUAGCUAAGUGUGCGCACGGCGGACCGUGACCCGCAACCUCGAUCAAGCGGUGGCACCCGCUAUGUAGGCAGCGGGAUAGGGACCGGCUAGGCGGCACGAUGGAUGAUCUUUCGGUGGUUGGCCACCUACUCAGUUCGCCCCCAAGCCAUUUAUUAUUUGGCUACGAGUCUUGUAUCUUUUUUCUUUUGCUUUUGAGGGUGUUUAUGUUGUUACCUGGUAAAGCUAUUAUUCUCGUUCUCACACUUGAACUACAUGUAUGGACAUGAUGGUUUGUAUUAUUUACAAAGUGAGGUGAAAGCUUAUUUCAAGGAAUGUGUGUUGGUUACAGUCGUCACUUCUUUUCUCUGCUGAAAUUCAAAAAGGAGUCCGUCAAGCCAUGCUCCAUUGAUGACACAGCCGUUGAGCAUGCGCCAGAUCCCCAAGGGCAUGUUUGGUUCCCCGCAUGAGGCCCAACCAUGCCCGCGCGGGAAGAAAAUGGCAUGUUUGGUUACCGUUAGUGGCGAAUCUAGACAGAAAAUGGAAGGUGGACUCAAAGCCUGUACCGUGCGAACAUGUGUUGGGUUGGUCUCGCAAGUGGCUGAGUUGGGCCUUGAGACUGGUAGUAAAAAACUUUUUUUUCAGUGCUGGAGGGGGGCUCAAGCCUGUUAAAGUCCCCUAAUAGAUUCGCCCCUGAUUAUUGUGUUCACUAUUUGACCUGCAUCGCACGAUGUUUAAAGCACCUCCCAGCCAUGCCCGCUAGGAACCCCCAAUUCGGCAGCAAACUUACCUAGAUAACUUUUUCUAGAAAAGGAGGAUGACCCCCGGCCUCUGCAUCUGGGAGAUGCAUGACAGUUAACUUAUCAAGAAAUGGUACUCCCUUGCUUACAUGCCUAACUACUCCAGGUUAACUAAAUCAUAGUCCCAUGGCAUAAGUACUCCAGGUGCAAUGGCAUAAGUAAAUCAGACCCAUGGCAUAAGUCCCAUGGCAAAAAUCAGUCUCAUGCUACUCCAGGUUCAGUACAGAGACUCAACACUGAUAUAGUAUACAGCAGCAAUUCAGAAGAGAGAUUACAUGGCUACCUUGCAUCUCGAUAUAGAGACUCUAAUCACCACAAGAUGAAAAACGAGUAACUUGAACUAGACGCUGGACUGAACAGAUGCCUAGUCACCACGACAUGGACAGAUAGCUAGCAUUUGAAACAGGACAAAUAGCAAGUUCACUGCGGCCGCAUACCGACAUGAACACUCCAAUGUUUACAUAUGCAGAUGUUACAAAGUGAGGAAAUGAAUUAAGUAAGUAAGUUCAGUGCGGCCGCAUACCAAUCAAAGGGUAAAUGGACCUAACUGGCCUGUUGGCGUCAACUGAUUUGAGCACGGAACUGUUGGAGCGGGUGCGAUGCCUACUUUCUUCUUCAUCUUGGCAAAAUGGUGUGGGAACAGGAACGUCUGCAGCAAGCUCAGCUCCCCGUCAGUGAACAGGAACGUGAAUGCUCUGUUCCUGCAUGUACAACAAUUUCAGAACAAUCCGUCAGUUCACCUGAAACCUGUUGGUACAGAUAAUGCUGAGGUUUCACCCGGUAAUUUAGUUGCUAAAUCUAUGAAUGCAGUUCCAGGGACACGUCAGUAACGUGCAACAAAGAAAAAACAGCUUGGUUUGAAAUAGUCCCAGUUACUGAAACGCAGCAAGCGCUCAUGGUGUAGGCGACGCCGAUGAGCGCCUGCGCCGGUGCGGCCCUCAUCUGGUAGGUUUCUAUGCUGUUUCAGUGGUCCUUAGUUGAUCCCUUUGAUUUCUGAUUACAGACUAUCUCUGAUAAUAAGUGAUUUUGGUGUUGUUUGUAGUUUGCACUUCUCAUUUCAGAAAUCAGUAGUGAUCCUGGUAUUCAACCAUGCGUAUUUAGCGAGAACAAACAAAGGAGGAAAAAGUUCAAGACAUGUUUAGCAGCUUCUGCUAAGUAAGUCUCCCCAGAACCUUCAGCUCCAAAUAAAACAACAAUUCAAGAGUAUGUUCUUCACAUAUGAAAUAUAUAAAUGCUGGCAUGCUUGCUGCAUUUGGUCAGAUUGCGGAUCAAGAAGUUAAAGCACAUGCUUGUGCCUGGUAUGGGGGCUCAAGUUUGAUCCUGCUUGGCUUUAGGUGCAAACAUGGACCUUCAAUUCACCUAGAACAAGAAUCAAAUCUUUGUGCCAAUUGUUGUUGUCAUUGGAGGCCCAUUGGGUGUGAUCAUGAUGUAGGCAUUCACUCUUGGAACUGAGAAUAAUUUGUUGAUCCUGAAUAGAAUAUAGUGGUGCGGGGAAUUAGCACACAAAUUCACUUGUGGUUAACUGAAAACUGCAGCGGAAACAAGUAAUCUCAGCACCACAUCAUGUACUAACUCAAGGAUCGUUGCUUAGCACGGAAGGAAACAUAUGCAACAGCAUAUAUGGAGGCAAAAAAAUGUUACUCAGCAGGCAAGACACUCCUCAGCCUAGUGUCUUGUGGUAGGAGUAAGUUUUUGGACAGCACCUAGCAUCAACAAAGAGACACCAGAUUUUUUACAUGGAAAACCCCUCAACUUGAGGGGGAUAACCACGGGCCGAAGCCACCCAAAUUCUAUUCCACUAUUAUCAAAUGUGGGAUACAAUAAGUUCUUCUCUAGACAACACUAGAGGAUCUCAUACAUCAAGAUUUCUGAAUCUUGGAUGAACACAACAAGAUUUGGGGCUCAAGAACUAGGGAUUGGAAUAAUCUCACCAAAGAUGGUGGAACCAAAGCUUGAAGGAGGCAAGGUAGUGGAUCUGGACCAUCACAACCUUGGGGAGGAGCUCCCUUUGCUUCUUCCUUCAAUCUUGCUCUUCUUCCCUUGCUCUCUUGGUUUUCUCUCUUCUUCUCUCUUGGAGGAUGAACUGGUGGUGGCUGCUGGAUGGAGGGUAAAGCAUCCCCAUCCACUCAUGUGCAAAGUCCAAAAUGACCCUAGGUCAUAACCGUAAUGGGUAGUGGGCUUCUACACCUCUUUGGGCUGCCUAAAAGGCCUCAAAUGGUCAUCCCCUCACAGCCCACAUGAGGAGGAUAUCCCAACAGAUCUCCACCUCCGACUCAUGAGGGGGGCACCGCCAUGCUCGCUACCUUGCAACAUACUUGUAGCUUCUCAUUUGUCAAUACCUUAGUCAUCAUAUCCGAACCAUUUUUGUCGGUAUGGAUCUUGUCAAGUUUCAGCAACUUGGAGCUCGCGACAUCUCGAAUCCAAUGGUACCUCACAUCAAUGUGCUUGGUUCGAGAGUGAUAGCUUGAAUUCUUGGCAAGAUGAAUAGCACUCUGACUAUCACAAAACAGAACAUACUUCUCUUGAUUCAUGUCGAGCUCUUGCAAGAAGUUCUUCAUCCACAAAACUUCCUUGCCAGCAUCAACUGCUGCAAUGUACUCUGCUUCUGUAGUUGAUGUAGAAACACAUUUCCGCAAUCUUGAUUGCCAUGACACUGCUCCCCCUGCAUAAGUCAUCAGGUAUCCAGAUGUGGACUUCCUACGAUCCUUGUCACCUGCGUAAUCUGCAUCGGUAUAGCCCUGCAAUACAGGAUCACCGCUUCCAAAGCAUAAACAAGAUGUAGAAGUACCCUUGAGAUACCUGAGAGUCCACUUCACUGCUUCCCAGUGAGCUUUACCUAGAUUUGUCAUGAACCGGCUAACAACUCCAACUGCAUAGGCAAUGUCAGGCCUAGUGCAUACCAUGGCAUACAUCAAACUGCCCACAGCAGAUUGGUAAGGUACUUUCCUCAUUUCUUCUUUCUCCCUCUUGCUUGUAGGACAUUGUUUUGAAUUCAGUUUGUGAUGGCCUGCAAGCGGAGAGAUAACAGAUUUUGCAUCUUUCAUAUUGAACCUUUCAAGUACCUUCUCAAUGUAUCUUUCCUGUGAGAGCCAAAGCAGCUUCUUUGAUCUAUCACGGGAGAUCUUCAUGCCAAGUAUUUGCUUAGCUGGUCCUAAAUCCUUCAUGGCAAAUGAUUUACUCAAUGCCUUCUUGAGGAGAGCAAUCCUCUUUGUGCCAUUUCCAACAAUCAACAUAUCAUCAACAUACAACAAGAGAAUAAUGAAGUCAACCUCGGCGUAACUCUUCAUAAAGACACAAUGAUCGGGUUGUGCUUUAUGGUAACGAAGCCCAGUCAUAAAAGACUCGAACUUCUUGUACCAUUGCCGAGGAGCUUGCUUCAAGCCAUACAAGCUCUUCUUCAAUUUGCAAACUAAGUGCUCCUUGCCUGCAACCAUGAAUCCCUGUGGCUGCUCCAUGUAUAUCUCCUCCUCCAGGUCACCAUGUAAGAAUGCAGUCUUCACAUCAAGUUGUUCAAUUUCCAAGUCCAUGGUGGCAGCCAUGCCAAGCACAACUCGGAUUGAAGACCACCGGAGAGAAUAUCUCACCAUAAUCGAUGACCUUUUUCUGACUGAAUCCUUUCACAACCAAUCUGACCUUGUACCUUGGAUGUGAGGUGUUUUCUUCAGUCUUCACUCUGUACACCCACUUAUUCUUGAGUGCUUUCUUGCCCUUUGGCAGAUUCACCAACUCAAAACUAUCAUUCUCAUACAGGGAAUUCAUCUCAUCCUGCAUGGCUUUUGACCAUUCUUCUUUGUUCUCAUCAGACAUUGCCUCCUCAUAGCAUGAGGGCUCACCUGCAUCUGUCAUCAACACAUAUUGAUGUGGUGGAUAUUUAGAAGAAGGAAUGUGACCUCUUUCACUUCUUCUUUGCUGCUGCACUGGUGGUGAAUCAGGUGGAUUUUCGGUGGCAUCAUCAUUAUCAACUUCCUCAUCAUCAUCACUUGAUGGCUGCUCGCCACUUUGACUUGUACUGCCUUGAUCAGUAGCAUAUCCACUAUCUUCAGUGUCAUAUCUCCCCCAUGAUUGUCAUGCACGAGAGGAGGACGGAUUGGAUCCAUGUCAACCUGAGGUGUGCUGGUCAUUGGCUUCUCUGGUUUCCCAAUAUCUUUUAUUGUUUCAUCUUCAAUGAACACCACAUCUCGGCUUCUCACAAUCUUCCUAUUUGCUGGAUCCCACAACCUGUAGCCAAACUCUUCACUUGGUUGGCUGAGGUAGAUGCACUGCUUUGUCUUGCUAUCAAUCUUGGAUCUCUCGUCCCUUGGAACAUGUACAAAUGCCCUGCAACCAAAGACCUUCAAGUGCUUGUAUGAUACCUCCUUCCCUGACCAAACUCUCUGAGGAAUAUCACCUGCAAGAGGGAUUGAGGGAGAUAGGUUAACCACAUACAUAGCAUUCAUCAAUGCUUCAGCCCAAAAUGAAUUAGGUAAAUGGGCAUGAGAGAGCAUAGCUGUGACCCUCUCUGUGAGUGUCCUGUUCAUUCUCUCUGCAAGACCAUUGAGCUGGCGUGUCUUUGGUGGACUCUUCUCAAGCCUGAUGCCAACAUUUCUGCAAUACCUUUCAAAAGGACCUCUGUAUUCACCACCAUUGUCUGAUCUCACGCACUUCAAUUUUCUGCUAGUUUCUCUUUCAACUUUGGCAUGGAACUCUUUGAAGGCUUCAAACGUUUGGUAUUUGUGUUUCAGCACAUACACAAAAACCUUUCUGUAAUGGUCAUCAAUAAAAGUCACAAAGUAUAAUGCUCCACCAUGAGAUUUUUCAGUCAUGGAGCAAACAUCAGUGUGCACAAUAUCAAGAACAUUUUCUGCAUGAUGUGGAGGGAGUGUAUGAAAUACAACCCUAUGUUGUUUGCCAGCAAAACAAUGUGCACAGGGUUUCAAGGAUAUACCUUUCAACUCAGGGAGGUACUCCAUGCGAGCAAGAGCAUGCAUGCCCUUCUCACUCAUAUGCCCAAACCUCUUGUGCCGCAAUUCAACCGAAGUGUCUUUUUCAGCAACAUUCAACACCUCAUUGCACAACUUGGUUUUAGUCACAUAGAGAUUACCUUGCUUACUUCCUCGAGCCACAAUCAAAGAGCCUUUGGUGAGCUUCCAUUUUCCUUCACCAAAAUAACUAGGAUGUUUGAUAUCAUCAAGCUUGCCCACUGACAACAAAUUCAGCCUUAUAUUGGGAAGAUGCCUCACAUCAUCGAGCACCAAUCUGCAAGUUGUGUUUGUUUCAAUGCAUAUAGAGCCCUUGCCAACAAUUGCUGACGAACCACUAUUUCUCAUCCUCACUUGGACAGUAACACCACUAGUGUAAGAUGUGAAAUACUCCUUAUGUGAUGUGAUGUGGAAGGACGCACCUGAAUCCACAACCCAAGUCAUGGCCUCAUCACGAACAACACUAUAGCAAUCGUCAUCUUCAAUGACUAGAUAGUCCUCAUCUGUUGCAGUCAUGGCUGAACUGGUCUCAGCCUUUUGCUCAGUUUUCUUUGUGAGUUUCCCCUCUGCAAGCUCUCUUUUAUACUUCCUGCACUCGCUCUUCAUGUGUCCCGGAUUGCCACAAUGAAAGCAAGUAAUAUCUUUUCUCUGUUUUGACUUUGAUCUCCCCCUGGAUUUGCUUUUGCCUUGUUGAAAUCUUGUAUUGUUGCAUCCAGGGUUCUCAUUCUUCCCAUGGGUUUCAGCCACAUACGCAUCAGAAGAAGAGGCAUCACCCUUUUCCUUCUUUCUGGCUUCUUCAUUCAGCAUAUUGUUCUUCACCAUCUCCAAAGUUAGCUUCCCAUCCAGAGCUGAAUUGCUAAGUGACACAACAAGCAUGUUCCAACUAUCAGGCAUGGAACUCAGCAGCAACAAUGCUUGCACCUCAUCCUCAAAGUUGAUCUUCAUGGCUGAAAGUUGAUUUAUAUGGCAUUGGAAGACAUUCAAGUGCUCAAUCACACUUGUGCCAUCCCGGUACUCAAGCUUUGCAAGUCUUUUGAUCACCGAGGCCUUGUUCAUUGAUGUCUUCCUCUCAUACAUUGACUCCAACUUCUGCCACAUCUCAUAUGCAUUUGUGUCAUUUGCAACAUGGUGGAAAAUAUUGUGGUUGAUGUACAACUGAAUCAUACCUAUUGCCUUUCUGUGCAACACUCUCCAUUCUUCUUCCGUGACACCUGUGGGUAUCUUGUCUUUCACAAUUGGCUCAUACAAAUCCUUGCAAUAAAGGAUGUCUUCCAUCAUGGGCUUCCAUAAUGAGUAAUUUGAAGAAUCAAGUUUUAUCAUGCCACUUGUAGUAGCAUUUUCUUCCAAAGCCAUUGUGAGCAGCACUUCCAACAACAAUCAAGUAACUGGGAUUUGCGGCCUUCUAAGCAACCAAAGCUCUGGUACCACUCUGUUGGGAAUUAGCACACAAAUUCACUUGUGGUUAACUGAAAACUGCAGCGGAAACAAGUAAUCUCAGCACCAUAUCAUGUACUAACUCAAGGAUCGUUGCUUAGCACAGAAGGAAACAUAUGCAGCAGCAUAUAUGGAGGCAAAAAAUGUUACUCAGCACACAAGACACUCCUCAGCCUAGUGUCUUGUGGUAGGAGUAAUUUUCUGGACAGCACCUAGCAUCAACAAAGAGACACCAGAUUUUUUACGUGGAAAACCUCUCAACUUGAGGGGGAAAACCACGGGCCGAAGCCACCCAAAUCCUCUUCCACUAUUAUCAAAUGUGGGAUACAACAAGUUCUUCUCUAGACAGCACUAGAGGAUCUCAUACAUCAAGAUUUCUGAAUCUUGGAUGAACAAGAUUUGGGGCUCAAGAACUAGGGAUUGGAACAAUCUCACCAAAGAUGGUGGAACCGAAGCUUGAAGGAGGCAAGGUAGUGGAUUUGGACCAUCACAACCUUGGGGAGGAGGCUCCCUUUGCUUCUUCCUUCAAUCUUGCUCUUCUUCCCUUGCUCUCUUGGUUUUCUCUCUUCUUCUCUCUUGGAGGAUGAACUGAUUUUCGUCACUCUUGGUGGUGGCUUCUGGAUGGAGGGUAAAGCAUCCCCAUCCACUCAUGUGCAAAGUCUAAAAUGACCCUAGGUCAUAACCCUAAUGGGUAGUGGGCUUCUGCACCCCUUUGGGCUGCCUAAAAGGCCUCAAAUGGUCAUCCCUCACAGCCCACAUGAGGAGGAUGUCCCAACAAGUGGUUCAAUAGUGAAUGUAACCACUUAUUUACAGAAUUUUUUCUUUUGUCGUGUUAUGUAUGGAGAGGCAUAUUCUCAGGCUUAAGGUUUUAGUUUUGGUAGUCCUUGAUCAGUAUGGUGACCGAAGGGAUGCCUCUUGAAUAUUAAGAUUCUUAUUUCGAGAUUGAGGUGAUGUAAACUUGAAUUCUAAACCAAGUAUGUGCUUUUGGCAAAAUGUGUACUUAGUUUGUUUUAGAUUUAGUGGGUUGCACCAAGGCUCUCAUACUUUAUAGGGCAAUUCAUUAUAUCAUUGAUGUUCUCCAUAUAUGAUUGCAACAUGUGCUAAACCUGCCUUAUUACUGUCGCAAUAUGUGUUUGAUCUUUAUUGGCUUGGCCAAGUUGUUGGGACCGGCACCCUCGCGCCAAGGCGCGUUACCGAUCUAGUUACUAGGAGUAGCAGGGGAGUUAUACUCUUGGCAGAUCACAGGCUUGCAGCAAUGGAGAUGGUAAUUUACCAAGCACUAUUUAUUUGUUGCCGUUCAAUAACAUUGCUACAACACCCGGACAGUGAGAUGAGAUGCCUGCCAUUGUGCCAAUGGACGAGGCCUUCAAGUACGCAGCCCACCACUAGACUAGGACCAAGACACUUCGUACGCUCAUUCGCGCGUUGAAUGCCUCUGGCCCACAGUGCAUCGGCGAAAACAAACAAACGAAGGCAAACAAUAAGGACCACAAACAGUUACUGAUGCCAUCUUAGAUGUGAGAUAUUAUCUCACAUCUAGAUGAGAUAUAGUCAGACUUUUUUUUGCUGUCCAAUAGAAACCCAGUGGGAUGCGCUGAUUAGUCCCGCUUACCUUGUCCCACGCUUUCUUGAUUCCUGCAACCUGAAUUGUGAACAAAAGCAACACUCUCGACAAAACCAUCACUCUGUGGACCUUGAACUCACAGGAAUUCGAAUCACACAGCUGCAGAAGAUCUCAUCUUUGGUCCGGAAAAGAUCCCAAUGCCUCACAUGCCUAACGAUGGCCAAUGUAGUGGCAUUCUUCCUAAAUGAUUGGUGUGUCCUGUCUCCAUGGAAAGCAUCAACCCGCAUAGACUGGUUGCUCAGUCGAUCCAUGUUUGCUAUAUAUGUGGGCGGAAAAAUAGGAUAGACUGUGCCAACAUUUAUGACUUUUAUACAAAACUAUUCAUCGAUUAUUCAAUGAUACACCUACUGCUCUACUUCAUCUUCAUCACUCCGUUCAAAAAUAAAUGGAAUGAAUAAUGUGACCUUUUUAAAGUAAGUCAAGAAUAUAAUCUCAGUUGUCCAUUGAUCAAGGUUAUGUUACAAAAUGUAAACACUACAAAGUUCAAUUUUAUUUUUACGAAAUCACCAAUUUCAGUCUUAUCUAUCGGCUCGCUCCUCUUAAUAUAUUUUAUACUAAAAUUUUAUACUUAUUAUACUACCGUGUUAAGGAUUAUAAUUUUAUUACUUAUUUGGCAUCCUUAACAACAAAACAAAGUUAAAUAUUAGUUGUUUUAUUUUUUUUAUUAUAUAUUUGUAAUAUAUAUUAUUGAAAAAUACGCAUGCAUUGCGCUGAAUUCAAUUCAUACUUUAUAACAAAAAUGAUUUUUUCUAAAUAGUGUUUGAUACUUGUGUAAAUUAUAUAGUUUAUGCAUAUCUAUGUUAGAUAUAUUUCUAAAACAUAUGGUUUACACAAAUAUUCGUAACAGUGUUUUUACUAUAUGAUUAGGAAAGCAUAUAUGUAGAAAAUUCUAGAGUACAAAUUUAAUCGUAUGUAUGGAAUUGCUUCAGAUAUACUCAUUUUUAGAGCAUUCAUGUACAACUUUAAUCAUAUAUUUGCUAAACCAUAUGGUUUAACAGAUAAGCCUAUAUACGUUUUUUAAAUAGGAAAUAAUGGGUGUACAUUUGUACACCCAUGUACUCAUCUAGCUCAGCCCAUGCUGAGGAUUAGUGAGGAAGGGUAGGAUGAGAAAUUCAGAUGGGCGCGGCGUAGCGAGGCGCGUGGCCGUACGGCCCGCUGUACGCCCGUACGUGGGCAGUGUACGCCGCGUGAGGAGGAGAGCGGGCCCACGCGUACUUAAGCCGAACCGCCGCCGUGCUAAACCCUAAUUAAUUCGGCGUGGAUUGGGCGAAGCCAUUAACGUCGGCAUAGUGGCAUGUCAUCCCCUAACUUCUUAAAAAACACGAUAAUAGUCUACAUUUUUUGGUCAACAGUGGAUAAGAACUUCCAUUUUGAUGCCAGAACACACAACUGCACUCAUUCAGUUAUACUUAAAUUGUACUCCCUCCGUCCGGAAAUACUUGUCAUGAAAAUAGAUAAAAGAGGAUGUAUCUAGACGUAUUUUAGUUCUAGAUACAUUACUUGUAUCCAUUUUAAUGACAAGUGUUUUCGGACGGAGGAAAUAGUAGCUUAUAUAAACCCUGCAGCUCCCCUCCCAUCGACCUUCAAAGGCAAACGAUCACCGAACGGCUGGCUUGGUAAGCGACUUGAUAAACCUAAAAUCUAAGGGUUGCAACGAUGCUCUCAGGAGCAGGACUGUAACAUCAUCAGUAUCAUCUCCACGACAGGAUUUUCGUUACCAACAUCUCAAGGGUUUCUCUGAAAAUAUAUUGCCACGGCAUGUAUCAGCCAAAGAAUGGUCUUCACAUUAGCCUGAACAUUUAGGUAUCUCAUUUCUAAUACAAAAUCUUUAAUGAACAAAAGUAUCAGCAAAACAGUACAACUGAGAAAAGAUUAGCUUUCAGAAAUUACAUAUAUGUUAAGCGUAAGUAAAACACUAGCAUUCGUCUAAAAAUACUAAAUUGUCACAUGAACGAACCCUCUGCAAAGCAUCUGUCAUGCUCCAGACAUGCCAAAAGCACAAUGUUUUUCCAUGACAUUACAGGUAACUCUUGUUAGUUCAAUUGCAGUUUUGGAUGAUGGAUUCAUGUUUUCCAGAAAAAAUACUGUAUACAUAAUUUUUAAGCAAAAUAAUCGUAAAUCUCAUAAGAUUUAACAACAUCUCUUGGCAAAAUGAUACGACAACCAGAAAGUUUACAGAACUAGUGUUGCCCAGAAUAAUACAACAACAACGUUCCCUUAACCAACAAUACAAAAUGGAGCAUUGGUGAGCCUGUCGAAUUUCAGGAAAACAACCAGGAAGUUUAAAACAGAGCUUAGGUGUUCUUUGGGCUAGUAUAGGGGCGAUGCUAUGGUCCUUAUAUAUGGCUCACUCUCAAUAAAUUUACCAUCGAAGGAUCAUUCCCGUCGCACCCGGCUGUCGGGGGAAAUCGGCCUCCACGAACACCUAUGUGGACGGAGCCCAUUCUCGGUUCGGCGGGGGGCGGAGGUCGCACAAAGAGCGGAUCGAGGCGAGGCACACGAGGGUUUACCCAGCUUCGGGCCGCACGGAUGCGUAAAACCCUACUGCUGCUUUGUGGUUUGUAUUGCGUUCUUGCUCGAGGUCGCUGAGUGCUACAGUACACUCGAGCUGCCUGCGAGCCUGGACGUGAAUGAGUGUCCUCCCCCUCUACGUGCGCAUGGGGCCUCCUUUUAUAUACUCAAGGGGUUACCCACAGGUGGCAGCGUAGGUAAGGGCAAAAAUGGGAAAAUGCUGUAGUGGGUACAGCUGCCUGUACAGUGGUUGUACAGUGCUAUCAUACCUAACCCUGACGGCGGGGGACAGGGGCAUUAAAUGCCCGUCUACGUCGCCCAGACAGUGCAAAAAAGGGGCCGUCAAGGGCGCCACCAUUUGCCACGAUGGCUAGCUUGUCAGCAUCACUUCGCCACCGCACGCCCCUGGCUGCACAGCUUCUCGCCACGUACGUCUGGACUGGCCCCAGAGCGACACGUGGGGUGGAUGAGCUGGAGCGCAGAUACGGGGUGGUAACUUGCCGCGGCAAACUCCUUGCCGCGGUGGAUGUCUUGCCGCGCCCGGGAGCUUGUCGCUCACCGGGCCUUGCCGGAGCGCGGGGCGCGCCGCGGCAAGUCUCUUGUCGCGCCCUAGUUGGCCUUCCCGGGAAGCUCCUCUUGCCGGGGUCUUGUGCUUCGAGCGGCCGUCCCGGCAAGCUCCUCUUGCCGGGGCCUUGCUCUCUUCGGGUGGUCGUCCCGGCAAGCUCCUCUUGCCGGGGCCUUGUGUCUUGUCUUAAGCACUUUGUUCUUGAAUGGCCCAAAAAGGGAUCAUGGAAGGGUUUGGCGUUCCCCUGGCAAGCCUUUGCCGCGGGGUGCUGAAGGAAAUAUGCCCUAGAGGCAAUAAUAAAGUUAUUAUUUAUUUCCUUAUUUCAUGAUAAAUGUUUAUUAUUCAUGCUAGAAUUGUAUUAACCGGAAACAUAAUACAUGUGUGAAUACAUAGACAAACAGAGUGUCACUAGUAUGCCUCUACUUGACUAGCUCAUUAAUCAAAGAUGAUUAUGUUUCCUAACCAUGAACAAAGAGUUGUUAUUUGAUUAACGAGGUCACAUCAUUAGUUGAAUGAUCUGAUUGACAUGACCCAUUCUAUUAGCUUAGCACCCGAUCGUUUAGUAUGUUGCUAUUGCUUUCUUCAUGACUUAUACAUGUUCAUUUGACUAUGAGAUUAUGCAACUCCCGUUUACCGGAGAUUAUGCAACUACCAAACGUCACAACGUAACUGGGUGAUUAUAAAGGAGUACUACAGGUGUCUCCAAAGAUAGAUGUUGGGUUGGCGUAUUUCGAGAUUAGGAUUUGUCACUCCGAUUGUCGGAGAGGUAUCUCUGGGCCCUCUCGGUAAUGCACAUCACAUAAGCCUUGCAAGCACUGCAACUAAUAUGUUAGUUGUGAGAUGAUGUAUUACGGAACGAGUAAAGAGACUUGCCGGUAACAAGAUUGAACUAGGUAUUGGAUACCGACGAUCGAAUCUCGGGCAAGUAACAUACCGAUGACAAAGGGAACGACGUAUGUUGUUAUGCGGUCUGACCGAUAAAGAUCUAAGCAGAAUAUGUAGGAGCCAAUAUGGGCAUCCAGGUCCCGCUAUUGGUUAUUGACCGGAGACGUGUCUCGGUCAUGUCUACAUUGUUCUCGAACCGUAGGGUCCGCAUGCUUAAGGUUACGAUGACAGUUAUUAUGAGUUUUGAUGUACCGAAGGAGUUCGGAGUCCCGGAUGAGAUCGGGGACAUGACGAGGAGUCUCGAAAUGGUCGAGACGUAAAGAUCGAUAUAUUGGACGACUAUAUUCGGAGUUCGGAAAGGUUCCGAAUGAUUCGGGUAUUUUUCGGAGUACCGGAGAGUUACGGGAAUUCGUAUUGGGCCUCAUUGGGCCAUACGGGAAAGGAGAGAAAGGGCCCAAAAGGUGGCCGCGCCCCUCCCCUUGCUCUAGUCCGAAUUGGACUAGGGAAGGGGGGCGCCCCCUUCCUUUCUUCUCCUUCUCUCUUCCCUUUCCUUCUCUCCUACUUCUCCUACAUGGAAGGAUUCCUAGUUGGACUAGGAAAAGGGGAAUCCUACUCCCGGUGGGAGUAGGACUCCCCUUGGCGCGCCAAACCUAGGGCCGGCCUCCUCCCUCCCUUGCUCCUUUAUAUACGGGGGCAGGGGGCACCCCAUAGACAAGUUGAUCUUCGUGAUCGUUUCUUAGCCGUGUGCGGUGCCCCCCUCCACCAUAUUCCACCUCGAAUAUAUCGUUGCAGUGCUUAGGCGAAGCCCUGCGCCGGUAGAACAUCAAGAUCGUCACCACGCCGUCGUGCUGACGGAACUCGUCCCCGAAGCUUUGCUGGAUCGGAGCUAGGGGCGCGUCAUCGAGCUGAACGUGUGCCAAGAACUCGGAGGUGCCGGAGUAACGGUGCUUGGAUCGGUCGGACCGGGAAGACGUACGACUACUUCCUCUACAUUGUGUCAACGCUUCCGCUUCGGUCUACGAGGGUACGUAGACAACACUCUCCCCUCUCGUUGCUAUGCAUCACCAUGAUCUUGCGUGUGCAUAGGAAAUUUUUGAAAUUACUACGUUCCCCAACAGUGGCAUCCGAGCCUAGGUUUUUAUGGUUUGAUGUUAUAUGCACGAGUAGAACACAAGUGAGUUGUGGACGAUACAAGUCAUACUGCCUACCAGCAUGUCAUACUUUGGUUCAGCGGUAUUGUUGGACGAGACGACCCGGACCAACCUUACGCGGACGCUUACGCGAGACCGGUUCCCUCGACGUGCUUUGCACAUAGAGGGCUUGCGGGAGACUGUCUCACCAACUUUAGUUGAACCAAGUGUGGCUACGCCCGGUCCUUGAGAAGGUUAAAACGGAGUCUAUUUGACAAACUAUCGUUGUGGUUUUGAUGCGUAGGUAAGAUGAGUUCUUGCUUAAGCCCGUCGCAGCCACCUAAAACUUGCAACAACAAAGUAGAGGACGUCUAACUUGUUUUUGCAGGGCAUGUUGUGAUGUGAUAUGGUCAAGGCAUGAUGCUAAAUUUUAUUGUAUGAGAUGAUCAUGUUUUGUAACCGAGUUAUCGGCAACUGGCUGGAGCCAUAUGGUUGUCGCUUUAUUGUAUGCAAUGCAAUCACCCUGUAAUGCUUUACUUUAUCACUAAGCGGUAGAGAUAGUCAUAGAAGCAUAAGUUUGGCGAGACGACAACGAUGCUACGAUGGAGAUCAAGGUGUCGCGCCGGUGACGAUGGUGAUCAUGACGGUGCUUCGGAGAUGGAGAUCACAAGCACGAAGAUGAUGAUGGCCAUAUCAUAUCACUUAUAUUGAUUGCAUGUGAUGUUUAUCUUUUUAUGCAUCUUAUCUUGCUUUGAUUGACGGUAGCAUUAUAAGAUGAUCUCUCACUAAAUUAUCAAGAAGUGUUCUCCCUGAGUAUGCACCGUUGCCAAAGUUCGUCGUGCCCAGACACCACGUGAUGAUCGGGUGUGAUAAGCUCUACGUCCAUCUACAACGGGUGCAAGCCAGUUUUGCACAUGCAGAAUACUCGGGUUAUACUUGACGAGCCUAGCAUAUGCAGAUAUGGCAUCGGAACACGGAGACCGAAAGGUCGAGCGUGAAUCAUAUAGUAGAUAUGAUCAACAUAGUGAUGUUCACCAUUGAAAACUACUCCAUUUCACGUGAUGAUCGGUUAUGGUUUAGUUGAUUUGGAUCACGUGAUCACUUAGAGGAUUAGAGGGAUGUCUAUCUAAGUGGGAGUUCUUAAGUAAUAUGAUUAAUUGAACUUUAAUUUAUCAUGAACUUAGUCCUGGUAGUAUUAGCAUAUCUAUGUUGUAGAUCAAUAGCUCGCGUUUUUGCUUUCAUAUGUUUAUUUUGAUAUGUUCCUAGAGAAAAUUGUGUUGAAAGAUGUUAGUAGCAAUGAUGCGGAUUAGAUCCGUGAUCUGAGGUUUAUCCUCAUUGCUGUACAGAAAAAUUAUGUCCUUGAUGCACCGCUAGGUGACAGACCUAUUGCAGGAGCAGAUGCAGACGUUAUGAACGUUUGGCUAGCUCAAUAUGAUGACUACUUGAUAGUUUAGUGCACCAUGCUUAACGGCUUAGAAUCAGGACUUCAAAGACGUUUUGAACGUCAUGGACCAUAUGAGAUGUUCCAGGAGUUGAAGUUAAUAUUUCAAGCAAAUACCCGAGUUGAGAGAUAUGAAGUCUCCAACAAGUUCUAUAGCUAAAAGAUGGAGGAGAAUCGCUCAAGCAGUGAGUAUGUGCUCAGAUUGUCUGGGUACUACAAUCGCUUGAAUCAAGUGGGAGUUAGUCUUCCAGAUAAGAUAGUGAUUGACAGAAUUCUCUAGUCACCAUCACCAAGUUAGUAGAACUUUGUGAUGAACUAUGAUAUGCAAGGGAUAACGGAAACGAUUCCCGAGCUCUUCGUGAUGCUAAAAUCGACGAAGGUAGAAAUCAAAGAAAAACAUCAAGUGUUGAUGGUUGACAAGAUCACUAGUUUCAAGAAAAAGGGCAAAGGGAAGAAGGGGAACUUCAAGAAGAACGGCAAAGCAAGUUGCUGCUCAAGUGAAGAAGCCCAAGUCUGGUCCUAAGCCUGAGACUAAGUGCUUCUACUUCAAAGGGACUGGUCACUGGAAGCGGAACUACCCCAAGUAUUUGGCGGAUAAGAAGGAUGGCAAAGUGAACAAAGGUAUAUUGGAUAUACAGAUUAUUGAUGUGUAUUUUACUAGUGUUCAUAGCAACCCCUCGGUAUUUGAUACUGGUUCAGUUGCUAAGAGUAGUAACUCGAAACGGGAGUUGCAGAAUGAACAGAGACUAGUUAAGGGUGAAGCAACGAUGUGUGUUGGAAGUAGUUCCAAGGUUGAUAUGAUCAUCAUCGCACUCUCCCUAUACUUUCGGGAUUAGUGUUGAAUCUAAAUAAGUGUUAUUUGGUGUUUGCGUUGAGCAUGAAUAUGAUUUGAUCAUGUUUAUUGCAAUACGGUUAUUCAUUUAAGUUAGAGAACAAUUGUUGUUCUGUUUACAUGAGUAAAACCUUCUAUGGUCAUACACACCAACGAAAAUGGUUUGUUGGAUCUCGAUCGUAGUGAUACACAUAUUCAUAAUAUUGAAGCCAAAAGAUGCAAAGUUAAUAAUGAUAGUGCAACUUAUUUGUGGCACUGCCGUUUAGGUCAUAUUGGUGUAAAGUGCAUGAAGAAACUCCAUGCUGAUGGACUUUUGGAAUCACUUGAUUAUGAAUCACUUGAUGCUUGCGAACCAUGCCUCAUGGGCAAGAUGACUAAGACGCCAUUCUCCGGAACAAUGGAGCAAGCAACAGAUUUGUUGGAAAUCAUACAUACUGAUGUAUGUGGUCUGAUGAAUAUAAAGGCUUGCAGCAGGUAUCAUUAUUUUCUGACAUUCACAGAUGACUUGAGCAGAUAUGGGUAUAUCUACUUGAUGAAACAUAAGUCUGAAAUGUUUGAAAAGUUCAAAGAAUUUCAGAGUGAAGUGGAAAAUCAUCGUGACAAGAAAAUAAAGUUUCUACGAUCUGAUCGCGGAGACGAAUAUUUGAGUUACUAGUUUGGUCUUCAGUUAAAACAAUGUGAAAUAGUUUCACUACUCACGCCACCUGGAACACCAUAGUGUAAUGGUGUGUCCGAACGUCGUAAUCGUACUUUACUCGAUAUGGUGUGAUCUAUGAUGUCUCUUACCGAUCUACCACUAUCGUUUUGGGGUUAUUCAUUAGAGACAACUACAUUCACGUUAAAAAGGGCACCAUCUAAAUCCGUUGAGACGACACCAUAUGAACUGUGGUUUGGCAAGAAACCAAAGUUGUUGUUUCUUAAAGUUUGGAGUUAAGAUGCUUAUGUGAAAAGGUUUCAUCAUGAUAAGCUCGAACCAAAUCGGAGAAAUGCAUCUUCAUAGGAUACCCAAAGGAGAUUGUUGGGUACACCUUCUAUCACAGAUCCGAAGGCAAAAUCGUUGCUAAAGAUGGAUCCUUUCUAGAGAAGGAGUUUCUCUCGAAAGAAGUGAGUAGGAGGAAAGAAGAACUUGAUGAGGUAACUGUACCUGCUCACUUAUUGGAAAGUAGUUCAUCACAGAAAUUUGUUCCUGUGACUACUACACCAAUUAAGUGAGGAAGCUAAUGAUGAUGAUCAUGUAACUUCAGAUCAAGUUACUACCAAAUCUCGUAGGUAAACCAGAGUGAGAUCCGCACCAGAGUGGUACGGUAUCCUGUUCUGGAAGUCAUGUUACUAGACCAUGACGAACUUGCGAACUAUGAGGAAGCGAUGAUGAGCCCAGAUUCCGCAAAAUGGCUUGAAGCCAUGAAAUCUGAGAUGGGAUCCAUGUAUGAGAACAAAGUGUGGACUUUGGUUGACUUGCCCGAUGAUCGGCAAGCAAUUGAGAUUAAAUGGAUCUUCAAGAGGAAGACGGACGCUGAUAGUAGUGUUACUAUCUACAAAGCUAGACUUGUCGAAAAAGGUUUUUUGACAAAGUUCAAGGUGUUGACUACAAUGAGAUUUUCUCACUCGUAUCGAUGCUUAAAGUCUGUCCGAAUCAUGUUAGUAAUUGCCGCAUUUUAUGAAAUCUGGCAAAUGGAUAACAAAACUGCAAUCCUUAAUGGAUUUAUUAAAGAAGAGUUGUAUAUGAUGCAACCAGAAGGUUUUGUCAAUCCUAAAGGUGUUAACAAAAUGUGCAAGCUCCAGCGAUCCAUCUAUGGACUGGUGCAAGCAUCUCGGAGUUGGAAUACAUGCUUUGAUAAGUUGAUCAAAGCAUAUAGUUUUAUACAGACUUGCGAUGAAGCCUGUAUUUAAAAGAAAGUGAGUGGGAGCACUACAGCAUUUUUGAUAAGUAUAUGUAAAUGACAUAUUGUUGAUCGGAAAUAAUGUAGAAUUAUUCUGCAAAGCAUAAAGGAGUAUUUGAAAGGAGUUUUUCGAAGAAGGACCUCGGUGAAGCUGCUUACAUAUUGAGCAUCAAGAUCUAUAGAGAUAGAUCAAGACGCUUGAUAAGUUUUUUCAAUAAGUACAUACCUUGACAAGAUUUUGAAGAAGUUCAAAAUGGAACAGCCAAAGAAAGAGUUCUUGCCUGUGUUACAAGGUUAGAAGUUGAGUAAGACUCAAAGCCUGACCACGGCAGAAGAUAGAAAGAGAAUGAAAGUCAUUCCCUAUGCCUCAGCCAUAGGUUCUAUAAAGUAUGCCAUGCUGUGUACCAGAUCUAUUGUAUACCCUACACUGUGUUUAGCAAGGGAGUACAAUAGUGAUCUAGGAGUAGAUCACUGGACAGCGGUCAAAAUUAUCCUUAGUGGAAUAAGGAUAUGUUUCUCGAUUAUGGAGGUGACAAAAAGGUUCGUCGUAAAGAGUUACGUCGAUGCAAGUUUUGACACUAAUCUAGAUGACUCUAAGUCUCAAUCUAGAUACAUAUUGAAAGUGGGGGCAAUUAGCUAAAGUAGCUCCGUGAAGAGCAUUGUAGACAUAGAAAUUUGCAAAAUACAUACGGAUCUGAAUUUUGGCAGACCCGUUGACUAAGCUUCUCUCACAAGCAGAACAUGAUCACACCUUAGUACUCUUUGGGUGUUAAUCACAUAGAGAUGUGAACUAGAUUACUGACUCUAGUAAACCCUUUGAGUGUUGGUCACAUGAUGAUGUGAACUAUGGGUGUUAAUCACAUGAUGAUGUGAACUAUCGAUGUUAAUCACAUGGUGAUGUGAUCUAGAUUAUUGACUCUAGUGCAAGUGGGAGACUAAAGGAAAUAUGCCCUAGAGGCAAUAAUAAAGUUAUUAUUUAUUUCCUUAUUUCAUGAUAAAUGUUUAUUAUUCAUGCUAGAAUUGUAUUAACCGGAAAACAUAAUACAUGUGUGAAUACAUAGACAAACAGAGUGUCACUAGUAUGCCUCUACUUGACUAGCUCGUUAAUCAAAGAUGGUUAUGUUUCCUAACCAUGAACAAAGAGUUGUUAUUUGAUUAACGAGGUCACAUCAUUACUUGAAUGAUCUGAUUGACAUGACCCAUUCUAUUAGCUUAGCACCCGAUCGUUUAGUAUGUUGCUAUUGCUUUCUUCAUGACUUAUACAUGUUCCUUUGACUAUGAGAUUAUGCAACUCAAGUUUACCGGAGGAACACUUUGGGUACUACCAAACGUCACAACGUAACUGGGUGAUUAUAAAGGAGUACUACAGGUGUCUCCAAAGGUAGAUGUUGGGUUGGCGUAUUUCGAGAUUAGGAUUUGUCACUUCGAUUGUCGGAGAGGUAUCUCUGGGCCCUCUCGGUAAUGCACAUCACAUAAGCCUUGCAAGCACUGCAACUAAUAUGUUAGUUGUGAGAUGAUGUAUUACGGAACGAGUAAAGAGACUUGCCGGUAACGAGAUUGAACUAGGUAUUGGAUACCGACGAUCGAAUCUCGGGCAAGUAACAUACCGAUGACAAAGGGAACGACGUAUGUUGUUAUGUGGUCUGACCGAUAAAGAUCUUCGCAGAAUAUGUAGGAGCCAAUAUGGGCAUCCAGGUCCCGCUAUUGGUUAUUGACCGGAGACGUGUCUCGGUCAUGUCUACAUUGUUCUCGAACCGUAGGGUCCGCACGCUUAAGGUUACGAUGACAGUUAUUAUGAGUUUUGAUGUACCGAAGGAGUUCGGAGUCCCGGAUGAGAUCGGGAACAUGACGAGGAGUCUCGAAAUGGUCGAGACGUAAAGAUCGAUAUAUUGGACGACUAUAUUCGGAGUUCGGAAAGGUUCCGAAUGAUUCGGGUAUUUUUCGGAGUACCGGAGAGUUAUGGGAAUUCGUAUUGGGCCUCAUUGGGCCAUACGGGAAAGGAGAGAAAGGGCCCAAAAGGUGGCCGCGCCCCUCCCCUUGCUCUAGUCCGAAUUGGACUAGGGAAGGGGGGCGCCCCCUUCCUUUCUUCUCCUUCUCUCUUCCCUUUCCUUCUCUCCUACUUCUCCUACAUGGAAGGAUUCCUAGUUGGACUAGGAAAAGGGGAAUCCUACUCCCGGUGGGAGUAGGACUCCCCUUGGCGCGCCAACCUAGGGCCGGCCUCCUUCCUCCCUUGCUCCUUUAUAUACGGGGGCAGGGGGCACCCCAUAGACAAGUUGAUCUUCGUGAUCGUUUCUUAGCCGUGUGCGGUGCCCCCCUCCACCAUAUUCCACCUCGAAUAUAUCGUUGCAGUGCUUAGGCGAAGCCCUGCGCCGGUAGAACAUCAAGAUCGUCACCACGCCGUCGUGCUGAUGGAACUCGUCCCCGAAGCUUUGCUGGAUCGGAGCUAGGGGCGCGUCAUCGAGCUGAACGUGUGCCAAGAACUCGGAGGUGCCGGAGUAACGGUGCUUGGAUCGGUCGGACCGGGAAGACGUACGACUACUUCCUCUACGUUGUGUCAACACUUCCGCUUCGGUCUACGAGGGUACGUAGACAACACUCUCCCCUCUCGUUGCUAUGCAUCACCAUGAUCUUGCGUGUGCGUAGGAAAUUUUUUGAAUUUACUACGUUCCCCAACAGGUGCUACGACUGCCCGUGCACAAGUUCGGGGUACUAAGGUACCCCUACUUUAGUACACCGACAGGAGCCCCCGGGCCUGGGCCAUACACGGCGCCGAGCGUUGUUGGGCCAGGCCCAAAACAGUGCACGGGCACGCGUGGCCUGGGUCGCGCUGCAUCUUAACUCCGCAUCCGUCGCGCCUUCCCCAAAUGGCACGUGUUGAAUGCGGCGUCGUGGGGAGAGGCGUGCGUGACGUGGGCGGCGUGCGCGGGGCUUAGCCCCGCAGGCAUGCGUCACGUCGUAAUAAAGGAGGCGGUUCGCACUCUCUCCAUAAGUGGGGGGGAGGCGUGGAGGCGCGGUCUGUUUACCGGACGGGGCCGAGGCACGGGUUUUGAGGCGUCCGCUCACCACGAUCACGGGGUGGGGAGAGGUCGCCUCACCCGUCGCCUCGGCUCUGCGCGCCUGCCACGUGGCCUCCAUGCACCUGGGGUCGCGACGGUGGAGGCAGGAAGCUGGGCCGUCGUGGGCCGAGGCAGUGGGUCGGUCCCGGUCGCCUGCUCUUCCUUCGUCUUGAUUGGCUGAGCGAGGCGGUCGAGCCCCCACCCUGCUUCUUUAUAAGGAGUGAGAGGGGGCGACGGAAAUCCGCACUCCUUCAUCCUUUCUUCUCUUUAGCUUCUGUUUCCCCAUCUCCAUUUGUCAUGGAGAACGGGAACCCUGGUCCUUCAUCGAUGGCGGCGAGGGUCGCCGCUAAGCAGCGCGCCCCUCCUCCCCUCGCACCCGUGGCGGCAGAGCCAGCCGUAAGGGGAAGGGGGAGGGGGCGAGGUCAUAGACGAGGUCGUGGACGAGGCCGAGGCGCUCGGGGACGAGGCGGACGGGGCGAUGCGUCGGCCUCGCCUCCGCCAACGGCUCCUCUUCUCACGGCGGUCCACAUCGGGGACGACCCUUGCGAGUUCUUUGUUAGGCUGCGCCGGGCGCCUCGUCGUCGCCUCCGCCUCCCCGCUCCCUUCGCAAGCGUGAUGGAGGUGGAACAACCCGAGACUCUGAGACUGCGCAUGAGGGGCUGUGGAAUCAGCGGCACGCGAGUCCAUGUUGAGUCCCCAGCCCCCGGCGUGAUGUAUCUCGGUCGAGGGUGGAAGUCGUUCGCCCGUAUCCACAGCUUGAUGGAGGGGUUCAACCUCCAUUUUAAGUUGAUGGAGGGCGAUCUCCUCUCCGUCAAGGUCUUCGGGUGCUAUGGCACCCGGGCCCGGUGCUGCGUGGAUAGCUCCUCCGAUAGCGAAGGCUCCUCCUCGAGUGAGAGCGACGAGGAGGGGAGCGACAGCGACGACGGGGGUAGCGGUCGUCGGGAUGACGGGUCCGACUAGGCGCCGGUCGCAGCUCCGUGUGGCACCGGCGACCCCAUCAUCCGUGUCGCCGGCUCCUUGAGCUUCCUGGGGUCGUCUCCUUGGGCGGCUGGAGUGGCGAGGCUGCGGAAGAGGAAGAGGGCUGGCGGCAAGGCCGUCAAUUUGGAGUACGAGGGCGAGGUGCGCUCGACAGCGUGCUGACGUCCUGCCGCCUCGUCUUCGAGCCCUCUUCCGGUGCUGCCACCGCCACCAGCCUUCGGACGGCCCCCGGGAUGUUCUCUUGGUGUCUUCUGCCACCCGUAGCUCGCCUAGGCGCCCCUUUUGCCCUUUUCGCCUCCUUGUCCUACCUCCUGAAGAGAGGGACAGAAAAAGGAUUACGGGCACCUUAUCUCUUUUUAACUUGUAAGCCCUCGGGCCUUAGUUGCAUUUAAAACUUGUAAUCCCAUCUUUCAUGUUUUUCAUUCUCUCUGAACUGUACAUGAGCGGAAUGUUUUUAAUGAAAAAGGGGAUGUUUGCCGGGCCAUUUGUCUUGCAGGUAAAACCCACGCCAAGGAGCGAAUCCUUUAUAUCGUUAAGAUAGACACUUCUUCGCCCGGCAACAGGCCCUGCCGUCUUCCCGCGCCACUCGACCUCUCUCACGCCCUUGGCGGAGGCAGGGAGAAGGCGGGUUCUGGCCCCUAGUUUCGUCCCUUUGCUGCCGCGACUACUACCAAAACAGACCCUAGGAACGCGCUCUGGGGCCUAUAGUUAAGGGAGCACGGUAGCUUUUAGGAGGAAACAAGGUUUUCAUAUUCCCCAGUUCAUAAGAGAAUGCAUGACAAGGGAUGCAAAAAACUUAUCUGAGAUUGCAGCCCCCGGCAGGUCUGGCUUGCCGCGGGCGAAUCCUUGCACUUGCAGCCCCCGGCAACUCUAGCUUGCCGGGACGCAGGUUCUAGCUCGUCCUUCUUCUCUUCUUCGUCCUCAAGCAGUCCAGCUAGGAUAUGCAAACCCUGCGAACCAAGGGAAACGAAAGAACAGCAAAAGGGACGCACACCCGACCUCUAAGCUAUGGGGUUAGUAGCUGUUAGGCACUAUCAACCCUAACCAAGGACGAGACUCGACUCAGCAUGCAUGCUAUGACUUGGGGCUCCAGCGCUUCAUUUACUGAUGCUCAGGGUCUGCGCCUGGCUUUGUACAAAGGAUUACAUGCAACAGCAGCAAGACUUGUACAAAAGGUUGGCUGCCGGACAGGGUCCGACAGCCGCGCCUUACGGGUAAAACUUAUGAAGAUGCUCAAUAUUCCAGGAGUUGCUCACCGGAGUGCCAUCUUCGGUCUCAAGGCGGACAGCGUCGGGCCUUGUGACUCGUUUCACCCGGUAAGGGCCUUCCCACUUUGGCGUCAACUUGUUGGAAUUCUUGGCCAACUGAAUGCUCCGAAGAACAAGGUCGCCUUCCUCGAAGCUUCUGGAUUUAACUUUGCGGCUAUGGUAGCGACGCAAAGCUUGCUGGUAGCGAGCGGCUCGCACGGCGGCCUGAAGACGAUCUUCCUCAAGGAGCAGUGCGUCAUCUUCACGCAGCCGCUCUUGCUCAAACUCAUCAUAAGCGAGCACUCGAGGUGACCCGUAUACGAGUUCCGUGGGGGUAACUGCUUCUGCUCCAUAAACUAGAGAAAAUGGUGUCUGGCCAGUGGCUCGAUUUGGCGUCGUUCUGAUCGACCAAAGAGCCACCGGCAGCUCCUCGAUCCAGUUUCUUCCGCACUUGUGCAGCCUGUCGAAAGUCCUGGUCUUGAGCCCGCGCAGCACUUCAGCAUUGGCCCUCUCCGCUUGACCGUUGCUUCUGGGGUGAGCAACAGAAGUGAAGCAGACCUUGGCGCCGAGAUCUUGGACGUACUGCAUGAAGGCGCGGCUCGUGAAUUGCGUACCGUUGUCGGUGAUGAUCCUGUUGGGGAUCCCGAAAUGGCAAACAAUCGACCUGAAGAACUUGACUGCUGACUGUGCUGUCACCUUCCUCACUGGUUCCACUUCCGGCCACUUUGUGAACUUGUCGACUGCGACGUACAAGUACUCAAAGCCCCCGACAGCUCGGGGGAAAGGGCGAGGAUGUCGAGCCCCCAGACCGAGAAUGGCCAGGAUAAAGGGAUCGUCUGGAGAGCUUGAGCUAGCUGGUGUAUCUGCUUGGAAUGGAACUGGCAUGCUUCACACUUGGUUACUUGCGCAGUUGCAUCCUGGAGGGCUGUUGGCCAGAAGAAACCUUGCUGGAAUGCUUUGUCGGCAAGUGCCCUUGCUCCAAUGUGGUGACCACAUAUGCCUCCAUGUAUCUCUGCCAACAGCUCUUGUCCGCCUUCCCGGGAAAUGCACUUCAAUUUCACACCGUUGCGUCCUCUUCUAUACAGUGUGUCGUCGACAAACUGGUACAUACUUGACUGCCGGGCUACUCUUUCCGCUUCUUCUUGUUCUUCGGGAAGUUCUCCUGUCUGGAGGAAACGGACAAUCUGAUGCGCCCAUGCCGGAGCCUGUGGCUCGACAACAAGGACUAAUGGCACAUCUGCUGCUGCGGGAACGUCUGCUUCUACGGCAAGAAUCUGCGGCUCGGCCGGAGCUUGACGUUCCCCGUCAAGCUUGCCAGAGCAAAACUUGUCGGGAGCAUCUGCUUCGACGGAACGAACCCUGGGGCUCGCCGGGGCAGGCUGCUCCUCAGCAUUUUUGUCGCCAAUCUUGGGGACCUUCUUGGCGGCGGCUCCGGGGAGCUCUGCCGGAAAGUGGUCGGCAGAAAUCAGCUUCCUCUUCUUGCUCUGCCCAGUUGAUGGUGUUACGGAUGGUUGAGUCAGCUUGAGCAUAAAGAUCCCUGGUUCCACAGGUAACUUAAGUGUUGCGCACUUUGACAGGCCAUCGGCGAUGUCGUUCUCAGCCCUUGGAACGUGUUCCAUUUGCAGGCCGUCAAAGCGCUCCUCUAGCUUCCUCACUUCAUCAACGUGAGCUUCCAUCAAUGGGCUCUGGUAGUCCUUGUUCACUUGGCGGACGACAAGCUGCGAGUCACCCCUGACGAUGAGCUUCUUGAUCCCAAGUUCUGCCGCGAUCCUGAGACCGGCAAGCAAACCUUCAUACACUGCAGUAUUGUUGGUUGCUUGCUCCUUGGGAAAGUGCAUCUGUACUAUGUACUUGAGGUACUCUCCGGUGGGUGCGACAAGCAGCACACCAGCGCCGGCGCCUUGCAGCGAGAAGGCACCAUCAAAGUACAUCAGCCACUCUUUGCUUGCUUCUUUGACGGGGAUGCUCGUCUCUGGGAUUUCUUCCUCUGGUGUUGGCAUCCACUCUGCUAUGAAUUCUGCCAACGCUCGGCUCUGGAUAGUUGAAGUGCUUUCAAACUUGAGGCCAAAGCUUGACAGUUCCAGCGCCCACUCAACAAUCCUGCCUGUUGCUUCGGUAUUUUGCAGUAUCCUCUUCAGCAGAAAGCGAGUGACGACUGUGAUCUCAUGUGCCUGGAAGUAAUGGCGCAGCUUUCUCGAGGCCAUGAGAAGGCCGAAAAGCAAUUUCUGCACACCAGAGUACCUUGAUCUAGCCCCCUGCAGGAGGGAACUGACGAAGUAAACUGGGCGCUGCACCAUUUUCUUCUGCACCUCCUCUUGUACCUGCGCAGAUCCAUCUUUGUCGGGGCCAGAGCUUGUCGGGGAAGUCCCCUGCUUGUCGCUGGAUGUGCUUGCCGGGGUCGCUGGCUCGUCGUCUGCCUCCCUCUCCGCCACUAAUGCAGCACUAACCACUUGAUUGGUUGCCGCUAGAUACAGUAGCAACUUCUCUUGUGGCUUAGGCGCGACAAGUAUUGGAGUGGAGGACAGGUAUCUCUUCAGGUCUUGCAGCGCAGCCUCCGCUUCCGGAGUCCAUUGCAUAGGACCUGCCUUUUUCAAGAUCUUGAAAAACGGCAGGGCGCGCUCGACAGACUUAGAGAUGAACCUGCUGAGAGCUGCCACGCAACCGGCAAGUUUUCGCACAUCCUUGACACGCCUUGGUGCUUCGAUCUGCUCGAUGGCCUUAAUCUUGUUGGGGUUGGCUUCAAUCCCCCGUUGGGACACGAAGAACCCAGGAAGCUUGCCGGAAGGGACUCCAAACACGCACUUCUCGGGGUUGUGCUUGAGGCUGAUCUUGCGCAGGUUCGCAAAGGUCUCUUCUAAGUCUUGAAUCAGGGUUGCCCCGUUUCUGCUCUUGACCACUAUGUCAUCCAUGUAGGCCUCCACAUUUCUGUGGAUUUGUGGCUCAAAAGCGGUAUGGACAACCCUUGCAAACGUUGACCCAGCAUUCUUCAAACCAAAAGGCAUUCGUACGAAACAAUACGUGCCGCAUGGAGUGAUGAAUGAUGUCUUCUCCUCAUCUUCUUCAGCCAUGAAUAUCUGGUGGUAUCCUGAGUAUGCGUCAAGAAAUGAAAGCAGGUCACAUCCGGCCGUGGAGUCAACAAUCUGGUCGAUGCGCGGCAAGGGAAAUGGAUCUUUGGGACAAGCUUUGUUGACAUCAGUAAAAUCGAUGCAAAGCCUCCAUUUCCCGUUUGCUUUGCGCACGACAACAGGAUUGGCCAACCACGUCGGAUGGAGCACACCUCUGACGAGGCCUGCUGCUUCUAACUUCUUGAUCUCCUCUGCAAUGAACUCUUGGCGCUCCACUGCCUGCUUCCUGACUCUCUGCUUGACGGGCCGCGCCUGAGGACAGACGGCGAGGUGGUGCUCAAUCACUUUCCUGGGAACACCGAGGAUGUCGGAUGGUUGCCAUGCGAACACAUCGACAUUCGCCCGCAGGAAAGCAACGAACGCGCUUUCCUAUUUGGGGUCAAGCGUGGCACUGAUGGUGAAGGUACCACCAGUGCCGUCCUUCUUGGCGGGCACCUUCUUGGUCGCUGGCGGAGCCGCCAUUGCUUUCUUGCACUUGCCGGUGGAGCUCGAUGGUGCGUCCUCGACGGUGGCGCAGCACUCCGAAGAGGUGCGCUUCCCGGAGGAGGCGUCAGGGCUCUUGCCGGACUUGGUCUUCUUCUUCCUCCCGGGAGCUUCAGCGGCAAGUGUUUUGUGAUCCGUUGCGGUUGCUGCUUCCCGGUAGAUCUUGUCGGCGCAGAUAAGAGCGUCUUUCUUGUCGCCAGGGACAGAAAUGACACUUAUCGGGCCGGGCAUCUUCAGCAUGUUGUAGGCGUAGUGAGAGGCUGCCAUGAACUUGGCGAGCGCUGGACGGCCGAGGAUCCCAUUGUAAGGCAAUGGAAAAUCGGCAACAUCGAAAGUGACCCUCUCAGUCCUGAAAUUCAGCUCGCUGCCAAACGUCACUGGCAGCGUGAUCUUCCCCUUCGGCUUACUCCUUCCCGGGUUGAUUCCUUGGAAUGUGCCGGUCUCUUCGAGCUCGCUGUCGGGGACUUGGAGUUUCUGGAGCACAGCGGAGGAGAUCAGGUUCAAGCCGGCCCUGCCGUCAACCAGCAUCUUUGUGACCUUGAGGUUGCGGAUUGUCGGCGAAACCAACAUCGACAAACACCCGAUCGCAGUUGUGCGAUCAGGGUGGUCCUCAAUGUCAAAGAUGAUGGGCGUGCUGGACCAUUUCAGAGGCCUGCGUGAUUCGACAGGUGGCUCCGCCGCAUUAACUUCCCGCGCCCACUGCUUGAGCUGGCGGCGAGAAGUAUGCAGAGAAGCACCGCCGUCAACGCACAGGACUUCUGUGGCUUUCUGAAACUCCUGCUCGCUAGUCUCGACAUCAUCCAUGUCUUCGUCAUCGUCGUCAUCUUCAUCCUUGUCGCGGCCGCGGGGAGGUCUGUCUGCUUGCCGCUGCUUGUCCUUGCCGCGGCGUCCUCCCUGGCCGGGGCGCUUCGUGCCGGAUCCUCCGCCACCUCCUUGGGCCUUCUCCUUGUCGCGCCGCUCAUAUUCGGCUUUUUGCAGCUCAACGAGCCGCUCGACCUGCUGGCAGCUUUGGAGAUCAUGGCCCUUGGUGCGGUGGAUCUUGCAGUACUGCUUGUUGGUGCCGUCCUGCUUGUCGGCGGCGGCCACAGCCUGGCAGUUGGUGCAUCCGGCAAGCUGCUUGCCGGAGCCACUAGCAUGUGCUUUCUUGGCGCCACCUUCAUCGCCGGACUGCUCAACAACCAGUACUUCUUGGUUCUUCUUCUUCUUGUUGCUCCGCCGCCGGUUUUUCCUUGCCGGGGCGGCAUCCUCACUGUCAGAUUCUCCUGCUCCAGUAGUCUCUCCGGGGAGUUUCCUCCCUUCCUCAGCACGUGCACACUUGUCGGCCAGGACAUACAGCUCAUUGACGUCUUUGAUCUUGCACAUCGCCAUCUCCUCCCGCAUCCUGCGGUUACGCACGUUCUGAUGGAACGCGCUGAUAACCGCGGCGGGGUGGACGUUUGGGAUGUUGUAGUGCACACGGCUGAACCUCUGAAUGAACUUGCGCAGGGGCUCUCCUUCCUUCUGGACGAGCAGAUGAAGGUCGCUCGCUUGGCCAUGGGGCUUGUGGCCGCCCGUAAAGGCGCCGACAAACUGAUGGCAUAGGUCUGGCCAGGAGGAUAUGGAGUUGUCCGGCAAGUGCAUGAGCCAGGAUCUGACGUUGGGCUUGAGCACCAGCGGGAAGUAGUUGGCAAGGAUCUUGUCGUCUCGCCCCCCGGCAGCUUGCACCGCAAUGGUGUAGAUGCUGAGGAACUCUGACGGAUGCGACUUGCCGUCGUACUUCUCGGGCACGUCUGGCUUGAAGUUCUUCGUGCUGGGCCACUGGACCUGCCGCAGCUCACGGGUGAACGCAGGGCAGCCUACCGAGUACGGCAGGUCGCCUGGUCCCCCUGGUGCAUGCAUGUCGACAGAGGGCUCGGCGCGCUGGUCUGACUGACGUCGCGCUUCUCUUCGGCGCUCGAUGCGAGUUCGAGCGUCUUCUUGCUUUCGUUCGUGAAGGACUUGGCGCUGAUCGCCGCGAGUUCGCGGAUCUGACGACGCGGUGGAGUCGUUGUCGUGGUGGUUCCGGCGAGUCGGCGAUCUUGGCCUUUGGAGUGGGGAGUGCACGGUGGUCGUGCCCCCACCGGUUUUGCCGUCGUCGGGUCGCGCCUGGCCGACUUGCCGCGGCUGCGAUGCGCUAGGCUGCCGCAGAGUGUCGCCGUUGGCAAAGCCGAUGAGGCUCUGAAUGGUGGCCAUCCAGUCGUCGAGCUUAUCCGCCGCUGGAGGGUAGUCUAGGAGCAGCUGAGCUCACGCCAAGGCUUCCGCUGGAGUGGCGGGCAGUGGCGGCGAACGGCGCGUGGAGCGGUAUGAGCUCGGACUUCCAACUACGUUGGAAGGAGCAGUACCCCGUCCAGGCGACCGUAUUUCGCUCGUGCCAGCCUGUUGGCGUGUGUGCUGGCCUUGAACAUCCUGAGAUCCGCCAGCUCGAUUUGGGUCCAGCGAGCGUAUGGUACCGUGAGUACCAAGACGCUGCCGGUCCCGCGCCUCCUGGGAUGGGCGUGGUGCCUGCUCGGACGCCGUAACGCCGUGAGCUGCGUCGCCGACGGCUGUUCCUCCGCUGGCGUCUACCCCACCACCCGUUUGCUCCGGGGGUGGCGGGUUCGACGCGGACGGACCAGCUACCUCCGCAACCUUCUUCUUCGGCGGCAUGUUGAUGAAGAUGAUGAAGAUCUAGCUCGCGCGAACGCCGGAUCAGGUUCGCACAACCUCGACGUCCCCUACCUGGCGCGCCAAAGAUGUCGGGGGAAAUCGGCCUCCGCGAACACCUAUGGGGACGGAGCCCCUUCUCGGUUCGGCGGGGGGCGGAGGUCGCACAAGGAGCGGAUCGAGGCGAGGCACACGAGGGGUUUACCCAGCUUCGGGCCACAUGGAUGCGUAAAACCCUACUGCUGCUUUGUGGUUUGUAUUGCGUUCUUGCUCGAGGUCGCUGGGUGCUACAGUACACUCGAGCUGCCUGCGAGCCUGGACGUGAAUGAGUGUCCUCCCCCUCUACGUGCGCAUGGGGCCUCCUUUUAUAUGCUCAAGGGGUUACCCACAGGUGGCAGCGUAGGUAAGGGCAAAAAUGAGAAAAUGCUGUAGUGGGUACAGCUGCCUGUACAGUGGUUGUACAGUGCUAUCAUACUUAACCCUGACGGCGGGGGACAGGGACAUUAAAUGCCUGUCUACGUCACCCAGACAGUGCAAAAAAGGGCCGUCAGGGGCGCCACCGUUUGCCACGAUGGCUAGCUUGUCAGCAUCGCUUCGCCACCGCACGCCCCUGGCUGCACAGCUUCUCCCCACGUACGUCUGGACUGGCCCCAGAGCGACACGUGGGGUGGAUGAGCUGGAGCGCAGAUACGGGGUGGUAACUUGCCGCGGCAAACUCCUUGCCGCGGUGGAUGUCUUGCCGCGCCCGGGAGCUUGUCGCUCACCGGGCCUUGCCGGAGCGCGGGGCGCGCCGCGGCAAGUCUCUUGUCGCGCCCUAGUUGGCCUUCCCGGCUAGCUUCUCUUCCCGGGGUCUUGUGCUUCGAGCGGCCGUCCCGGCAAGCUCCUCUUGCCGGGGCCUUGCUCUCUUCGGGUGGUUGUCCCGGCAAGCUCCUCUUGCCGGGGCCUUGUGUCUUGUCUUAAGCACAUUGUUCUUGAAUGGCCCAAAAAGGGAUCAUGGAAGGGUUUGGCGUUCCCCUGGCAAGCCUUUGCCGCGGGGUGCUACGACUGCCCGUGCACAAGUUCGGGUACUAAGGUACCCCUACUUUAAUACACCGACACCGGCUAACAUCAUAUGCAAAUGCUCAAUCCUCUUGCAGCAGUGAAGUCCGUUGGCAAAGCAGAAGGACUCUGAAAUCAUGAAGCAAGCGCAAGACCGACUUCGUCAGGUCUAUGUGGCGGCUAGGGAGCUGGUUCCGCCCAGCUGAGGGUGGACGUGUUAUUUUGUUUCGCGAGCCUGCGCGGCCCUCAGUAGGCCUUGGCCUUGUAAUAUGCUCGCAAGCUGGCUUCGAACUCAUCCCGUUAUUAGCUGAUACUUAUGCCGUGGGCUUUUGGUUGUGCCCGUGUAAUGACUGUCCGUCGAUGCUCUGCCUGUUUCCGUUGUGGGCUUUAUUAAUUUAAAGCCGGACGCCUCUAGCGUCUUCAUCCUAAAAAAAAGUGUUCUUCAAAAGAACACAAAACAUCCUAUUAAGCAACAUUACAAAAAGGAGCAUUUGCACACCAGUCUAAUUUCACAAGAUGUUUUCUGUAGUUUGCUAGUUUUUUUUAUGAUCACUGCUAGUUAUGGAGCCAUUCCUGACAGAAAACAUUCGUAUGCAAUAUCUUGGAGCAGUGACAAAGAAACAUUCAAUUAACCAUUUGAAUUUCAUGAAUAGUUCGCUAGUUUUUUUUUAUACAGGCUUUAUUAAAGGCCUGCUUUACGAAGAAAGCAAGUAACUUUACGACUGGAGACCCUCCCACAGGCAUCUACGGACUGCAGUCAGGAAAGGGGUUAAAAGCUGUAGAAAUAACUCACCUAAACAAGACUACAUCACCGGCUCCCAGGUUACAGCCACGAGGGCUGAGGCAAAAUAUACGUUUGCUAGUAACUGCCAGCAUUGUUUUACUGUGCCACUGAAGUUCAAAAUGGAGUGUGCCAGCAUUAUUUUACUGCGCCACUGAAGUUCAAAAUAGUGUGCCAGGCGCCACCAGGCUCAAGUGCCAACAGUCGUUGAGCAUGCGCCUGAUCCUCCGAUGGUGAGGGCAUCUCCAGCCGUUCGGCCCCCCAACACGCCUAAAUAGAGCGGCCUGGGGGCAUGCUGGCGUUAGUUCGGCCCCUGGGGGCGACCCAGCGCCCAGUCACGCCCCCACGCGCCGGCCCCAGGAUGCAGGAAUUUUAAACUUGGUCGUUCCCGCUCACAAAAGACGCCGCAAAUCCGGCGAUCGGACGUAGUCUGGCGUUACAAAAACAGAGUUCGCGUGCGCAAUGAUUCACUCGGCGGGGUCGGCUCCAGGCGUUGGCGGAGUCGGCGUGCGCGGGCUCGGCGGUGCCGGAGCUGCUUUGGUGCUGGGCUGUGUCGGCGCGGCUUCGGCACUGCUGGGUGGCGACGUAGAGGCGUCGUUUGGGCUUGGCGUCCGGGUGGUCGUGGGGGUCGUGGGCGUCGUCGGCGUUGCCGUCGGCAGCUCGUUCAGGAUGAGGCCGCGCUGCACCAGGUACCACGCCUUGAGCUUCUCGUCGUUGCUCUGGAGCAUGUCUGCCCCGCUCAUCAGAAAAGCCAUGUCGGUGUUCCUCUUCUUCGCGGCGACGUUCGUCCGGAGCAGGUCGAGUUUGAUGGCGUUGUUCUUCAUCAGCGACGACCACCGCGCCUCGGUCUUCUCUUCGCGCAGGACGGCCCGGGCCUUCGCGUCGGCGAGGCAAUGCUCGAUGGACUCCUGCACUCGCGCGGUUGCCGCGUCGGCGUUUUUCCCCUUCUUCGCCAACUUGUUGCCGUCCGGCCGCCCCUCUGACGCGCCCGGAGUCGGCGCGUCCGGCUUGUAUGUCUCCUUGGCCUUGUCGAGGGCACGCCGAACUUCCGCCCACUUCUCGCACUUGUCAAUGCGCUUGUAGACGUGGAGGUGCUUGAAGUCGGCGUCUUGGUUGUCGCCCCGAUACAUGGCGAACAUACGCAGCAGCUGCGCGGAGAGACGAACAGUAGGCGGGCGGCGGGCGUAGGGGACGAAGAUAUGCGGGCGAACGGCGUGCAUACCUGAUCCUCAACGCUGGCGCCGCUCUCCGGGCGAGCCGCGACCUCCUCGACGAUUACAUGCCAUUUGUUGCACGCCAACUGGAUAUGUCCCCAAUGGUUCGCCAUCGCCUUCGCGCCGCGCUGCAUGUAGACGCCUUUGAAGUAGGGGUCGACGAGCUUCCGCUCGUCGAACUCGGCCUUGAUGCGGUCCCAAUACGUCUCCAAGCUCUGGUUCGUGCCGGUGGUCGGGUCGAGGCAGACGAGUUUCCAUGCUUCGGCGAGGCAUUCCUCCUCCUUGGACGUCCACUUGAUGCGCGGUUCGCCCGGCCUAGCCGCCCGGCGUUUCUUCUUCUGGCGCCCCUUCGUCGGAACAGGAGCCGGCUCUUCCUCCUCCUCCUCCUCCUCCUCCUCGUCCUCCUCCUCCUCCUCCUCGGGUUCCUGCGCGUCGUCGCCGUAGACGUAGCCGAGCUCGGCCUCCAUGUCGCCGUUGAGAUCCAUUACCUCGUCCUGGGUGGCGAAUCCGGGAGACGCGGCGGCCGCGGUCGAUCCUGUCGCGAUGAUGUCGUCCAUGUCGGCUCCCGUGUCGUCGGCGUCGCCGAGAUGCGAGAAGGGUAGCGGUCCACGGUAGAGAUGGGGCGUCGGUGUGGACGCGUAGGCGGCGGGCGGCGAGUAGGUGUAUGGAGGGUACUGCACGCCGACGAAGGCGGGCGAGGGCGUGUGCGUAGCGGGGUGACCAUGAGGGAAGGUCACGUUUGGGUUGAACCCACCGUGCGCGUCGCCGUCGGCGUAGCCGGGCGACGAUGAGCCCCACGGAGAUCCGGCACCUUGUUGUCCCCAGGGCGCGUACUGGGCGUGGCUGGCGGGUGGAUUCAUCCCCGCCUGGUCGGCCGAUGAGGAAGCCGCCGCGCGCGCCGCGUUGUCGCGGGCCUUCUUGGCUAUGGCCCUGUUCCGCCUGUCGGCGGUGACUGCUUCGCGCCGCUGCACUUCCACCCUCCACUCGGCGUUUGACAGGCCCGGUGGCUUCGAUGGCGGCGCUCUCGGCUUCCUCGGCUUCGGCUGGACCACGGUGCCAGUCGCGGUUGCCGCCGCGCGCGGCAUGGCGUACUUCUUCGGCGGCAUGGCGGCGACUGAAAGGCGAGCGGGAGGUGGUUUGGCGGGAGAAAGGGAGAGAAUGGCGGGAGGAAGGCGAGCGAGCGGGAGAGAUGCGAGGGAAAAGCGUCAAGAAACGGCGGGAAAAGUCCCUCGCGUCGCCGCCAGGGCGGACCCACGCGCCUUUUUCGCUUGCGCCGGCUCCCCAAGCGCCCUCCAGGGCGCCGGGUUCGGCCUGGGUCCGCCGGCACCAGUUUUGGCCCGAGCCGGCGAAAAACGGGUUUCUGGGGGCGCGACUGGGGCCUUUUUUUGGCGCCGGCGUGGCAAAAUCGCCUGGGGAGGACCUGUUGGGGGCGCGGCUGGAGAUGCCCUGAGGAUGGUUAAGAAAAUUUCACAUUGAUGACAGAUCAUGACGCCAGAUCAUGGUCAAACGCUUCUUCGCGUAAGGCGUCUUCACAUGUACUUUACACGCCUGUUUGUUAGGCGUGUAUGAGGGGGUUCAAGUCCCGAAAUAAGAUUUUUGAGGGGUCAGUGGGCGAAUUAAGUUUCUCCAGGGCUCAUUUAGUAAAAAUGACGCUCAUCCCUAUAAUAAGCAUCUUAUUUCACCUUGCAUGCAAGUUCUCGCAGCGAGUAUAGAAAGAAUUAAAUCCGAAGCAGAAACAAUGCAGUCAUGACAUGAUAUCAGCUACUGCUCUAGUCACGAUCGGUCAGGUGUAUUUUUGGUUGGGCUCUUUCCUCUUCAUAUUUCAGAAGUAAAAAGCAACCACGUGGCGGAACUGCCAAAAUUUCUUACUCUCCUGCUUCAUGAAAAGAUGCUAUUACUCUCUCUGAAUGCGCGGGCCUGAAGAAAAAGAAUUCAGAGGUCAGACAUGUGUUAUCUGAUUCAGAAUUCGUCAAAUGGAAACAGUUCAGUGAAAAUAUGCCUCUAUCUCCAAAAAAAUGAAGGUGCCCCUUCAAUCUCGUUGUUAAACAUGUCAUGUAACGUGUCAAUGUGUGCACCGCACCACCUUUACCUAGCGCAUCUCUUCCUGAUGAGGUUGUUGUGAUAUAGAUUAGAUUGGUAGUUGUAACCAAUUCUAUCUCUUGUCCUCCAAGUCUCAAUCUUUGUAACAACUCAUAUAUGCGCUGUAUCAGCGAGGUGCGCCCCUGCUAUUUAACACGAACCCGUCGCCUCCAACGAGGUAAGACGUUUCCGCCAUCGCACAUGGUAAUCAGAGCCCUUCCUCUCUCAAUCUAGCUAGCUAUCCCGAUUGCAUCUAGUGCAUAGCCAUGUCUUCAUCCGGCGCCUCCCAACCUAGCCUUAAUGGCCGGGUCACCGAGAAGCUCAACCGCACGAAUUACGUGCUCUGGCGCACGCAUGUCACACAUCACCUGCGGGGCGCCGGUGUCUUCGGCUACGUCGAUGGCACCUCGCCGGAACCGGCCAGACUCCACGUCACCAAGGACAAAGACGGCAAGGAGACUUCUGCGCCCAACCCUCUCCACCCUCUCUGGGUCAGGGAGGACCAACAAGUGCUCGGCUACCUGCUGAGUACUCUCUCCAAGGAGGUCCUGGUCGCGGUCACCGCGAUCACCACGGCGCGUGAACUUUGGGUGGCAUUGGCGGGCAUGUUCUCGUCCCACUCCCUCAGCCGCGUCAACAACAUCCGCACUGCGCUCAUCAACGCGCAGAAGGGCAACCAGUCGGUCGCCGCCUACUUCGCCUCCCUCCGCGGCCUCGCUGAUGAACUCGCCGCCGCCGGAAAACCCAUCCAGGAUGACGAGUUGAUCUCGUACAUCCUCCAUGGACUCGACAUCGACUACCAGCCGCUCGUCUCCGCCCUCGACGCCAGCGUCACGCCUGUCACCCUUGAUGAGCUCUAUGCCAUGCUGAGUAACUUCGAUCAGCGCAUGGCCCAAUUUCAUGGCUCCGCCGGCGGCUUCAAGUCCUCGGCCAACGCUGCUUCUCGCGGUCGUGGCGGUGGCCCUCGCUCCCGUGGCUCUCCUCGCACAAAAGGGCGUCCCGGAGGCCCCAGCAACGGUGGUGGCUCCUCCAACUCCCGCGGCGGUCGCUCCACCAACUCCAAACCUCGUCGCGGCGGCAGCUCCACCGGGUCUCGUCCGGAUGCCCCUCGCUGUCAGAUCUGUGGCAAGCUUGGGCACACGGCCAAAGACUGCUGGUACCGCUACGACGAAGACGACGACGACUCCCAAGACGAGGACAAAGUUGCUGCAGCAGUGGACGGCUCCUACGGCGUUGACACAAACUGGUAUGUCGACAGUGGUGCUACCAAUCACAUCACAAACGAGCUCGAAAAGGUCACUAUGAAGGAGAAGUACCGUGGAAAAGAUCACAUCUACACUACCAACGGUGAAGGUAUGAGGAUCAGUCAUGUUGGUCACUCGUUUUUUAGUACCCCUCGCCGUAAAAUUCAUCUAAAGAAAAUUUUGCAUGUUCCUAGUGCCGAUAAGAAUCUACUUUCUGUCCAUAGAAUUGCCAUUGACAAUCAUGUCUUCCUUGAAUUUCAUCCUUUCUUUUUCUUGAUCAAGGACCUGGCAACGAAGAAAACAGUCUAUCGAGGUAGAUGCGUUCGAGGACUCUACCCAUUGCUUCCGGAGCAUCCAAGAUUCAAUAAACGAGCCUAUGGUGUUGCCAAACUUUCGUCAACACGGUGGCACGAUCGACUAGGACAUGCUGCUUUCUCUUUAGUUGAAAAAUUACUUAGGAAAAAUAAGCUCCCGUAUGUUGGUGAGCGUGAUCUUGAAACUAUUUGUGAUUCUUGUCAACGAGCAAAAAGUCAUCAGUUACCUUACCCUAUAUCUACUAGUGUUUCUACCAAUCCUUUGCAAUUAAUCUUCUCUGGUGUUUGGGGUCCUGCCCCUAGUUUUGUUGGUAGACACACAUAUUACGUAAGCUUCAUAGAUGACUACAGCAAAUUUUCAUGGAUCUAUCUCCUCAAGAGAAGAUCCGACGUCUUUCAAGUUUUCAAAAACUUUCAAGCUCUAGUUGAAAGAAAAUUUGAUCAUAAGAUUAUUGCAGUCCAAUCGGACUGGGGGGGGGGGGUGUACGAAAAACUAAACUCCUUCUUCCAAACCCUUGGCAUAUCACAUCACGUGUCAUGCCCGCAUGCCCAUCAACAGAAUGGCUCAGCUGAACGCAAGCACAGACAUAUAGUUGAGGUUGGCCUAGCCCUCCUCGCUGGUGCAUCCAUGCCCCUCAAGUUUUGGGAUGAGGCUUUUCUCACUGCCGUUCAUAUCAUCAACAUGCUUCCUAGUCGUGUUAUAAACAAUGAAACUCCACUAGAACGCCUUCUCCACACAAAACCCGACUACAAGUCUCUUUGUGUUUUUGGAUGUGCCUGUUGGCCCAAUCUUCGCCCAUACAAGAAACGCAAGCUUAUGUUCCGCUCAAAGCAAUGUGUUUUCUUAGGAUAUAGCACCCAACACAAAGGUGUCAAAUGCCUAGAUGUCUCAACCGGUCGCGUCUAUAUCUCUAGGGAUGUCGUUUUUGAUGAAACAAAGUUUCCUUUCGCUGACCUCCACCCGAAUGCCGGCGCUCUUCUUCGUGAGGGAAUUUUAAUCCUCCCUCCUAAUCUCUCUGGCAUUGAUCAAGGGGGCCUAAACUAUGAUGAUCAACUACUGACACAUCCUCCUACUAAUGGCACACUUGAGUCUUGUGAUGAAACAGGGGAAACCAGGGAGAACAACGAAGAAAAUGGUGAAGAAAAUGGCGAAGAAAUCGCCUCAUCCGAGCGAUAUCUCAUGUGUCGUGAAACGGGAGGCAGAUCCACCUCGGGAACCGUUUGGCAGGCGCAGCACAUCGGAUCCUCCUCGGGAUCCGCAGGCGCAGACGCGCCAGUCGCGCCAGGACUUCGUUCCCCGCCGACCGCCUCAGGGCGUGCCACGCGGUUGUUGGAAAUAUGCCCUAGAGGCAAUAAUAAAAGCAUUAUUAUUAUAUUUCCUUAUUCAUGAUAAUUGUCUUUAUUCGUGCUAUAAUUGUGUUAACCGGAAAUCGUAAUACAUGUGUGAAUAACAGACAACAACAUGUCCCUAGUGAGCCUCUAGUUGACUAGCUCGUUGAUCGACAGAUAGUCAUGGUUUCCUGACUAUGGACAUUGGAUGUCAUCGAUAACGGGAUCACAUCAUUAGGAGAAUGAUGUGAUGGACAAGACCCAAUCCUAAACAUAGCAUAAGAUCGCAUAGUUCGUUUGCUAGAGUUAUCCAAUGUCAAGUAUCCUUUCCUUAGACCAUGAGAUCGUGUAACUCCCGGAUACCGUAGGAGUGCUUUGGGUAUGCCAAACGUCACAACGUAACUGGGUGACUAUAAAGGUAUACUACGGGUAUCUCUGAAAGUGUCUGUUGGGUUGACAUGGAUCAAGACUGGGAUUUGUCACUCCGCUUGACGGAGAGGUAUCACCGGGCCCUCUCGGUAAUGCAUCAUCACAAUGAGCUCAAUGUGAUCAAAGUGUUUGAUCACGGGAUCAUGCAUUACGGUAACGAGAAAAGUGACUUGCCGGUAACGAGAUUGAACGAGGUAUUGGUAUACCAACGAUCGAAUCUCGGGCAAGUAAAAUACCGAUUGACAAAGGGAAUCGUAUACGGGAUUAAUUGAAUCCUUGACAUCGUGGUUCAUCCGAUGAGAUCAUCGUGGAGUAUGUGGGAGCCAACAUGGGUAUCCAGAUCCCGCUGUUGGUUAUUGCCUGAGAGCCGUCUCGGUCAUGACUGCAUGUCUCCCGAACCCGUAGGGUCUACACACUUAAGGUUCGGUGACGCUAGGGUUGUGAAGAUAUGUAUGUGCAGUAACCCGAAUGUUGUUCGGAGUCCCGGAUGAGAUCCCGGACGUCACGAGGAGUUCCGGAAUGGUCCGGAGGUAAAGAAUUAUAUAUAGGAAGUGCUAUUUUGGCCAUCGGGACAAGUUUCGGUGUUAUCGGUAUUGUACCGGGACCACCGGAGGGGUCCCGGGGUCCACCAGGUGGGGCCACCUGCCUUGGGGGGCCACAUGGGCCUUAGGGGGUGCGCCUUGGCCCACUUGGGCCAAGGGGAACCAGCCCCAAGGGCCCAUGCGCCAAGGAAACUUGGAGGAGGGAGAGUCCAAAGGGGGGAAGGCACCUCCGAGGUGCCUUGGGGAGGAUGGACUCCUUCCCCCCUCUUGGCCGCACCCCUUCCUUGGAGGAAGGGGCAAGGCUGCGCCCUCCCCCCCUCUAAUGCACCUAUAUAAAGGGGGGCAGGGGUGGGGGGCAGCGCACAAUAUGCCCUGGCGCCCCCUCCUCCCUGCAACACCUCCUCCUCCUCCCGUAGUUGCUUAGCGAAGCCCUGCCGGAGUUCUGCUGCAUCCACCACCACACCGUCGUGCUGGAUCUUCCUCAACCUCUCCUUCCCCCUUGCUGGAUCAAGAAGGAGGAGACGUCUCCCGUCCCGUACGUGUGUUGAACGCGGAGGUGCCGUCCGUUCGGUACUAGAUCAUCGGUGAAUUGGAUCACGGCAAGUACGACUACCUCAUCCACGUUCACUCGAACGCUUCCGUUGCGAUCUACAAAGUGGUAUGUAGAUGCUAUCUAAUCUGAAUACUCGUUGCUAGAUGAACUCAUAGAUGGAUCUUGGUGAAACCGUAGGAAAAAUUUUAAUUUUCUGCAACGUUCCCCAACAGNNNNNNNNNNNNNNNNNNNNNNNNNNNNNNNNNNNNNNNNNNNNNNNNNNNNNNNNNNNNNNNNNNNNNNNNNNNNNNNNNNNNNNNNNNNNNNNNNNNNUGCUGUUGCCACAAGGGGGAAAACAACGGUGCUUGUGCCCGCGGGUGCAAGGAUUGUUUACUUUACGCAAAGUUAUUUUAAUGCAGUUGUCUGUUGCUUUGAGUUUACACUUUGGGUGGGGCUCGCAACUUAAUACCAGCGAGAUGUUCUGGAUAGAUAUCUCAAGGUGGAUGAUUAGUAGUAGAUGCAGAUGGAUUUCGGUCUACUUACCUUGGCGUACUGCCCAUGCUUUGAACCUCUACCAAUCUUGCAAUAUAGUUAGCAUUGGUUUGCGCACAUAAUCCUGUCAAUUGCCCAGCUGUAAUUUGUUUACCUCGCAUAGCUGUUUUAUCAUCUUUUGGGAGAGACAUCACUAGUGAACAUCAUGGCGCCCCGGUCCAUAUUCCUAUCAUUGAUCACAUCGCUAUUUACUUGCCUGCUUUUAUUUACUUUUUGCAGCUAUCCAUCACUAUUAUCACUUGCGUUUAAUCCUUUGUAAACGACAAGGCCGGAGGGAUUGACAACCUCUAUGUACUCGUUGGGAACAAAGUUAUUUGUAUCUGUGUGCAGGUCCACGUUGAUUGCUAAUACACGGUGCCGUUAGCGAUUGACACCUUCUUGUUGAAACUGGGAGUCUCUGGGGAUUCGAUCCUUGGUAUCUUUGCCAAGGGAAAACUACCGCUACACUGCAUCUCAAACCUUACACUUGGGGUAACCAACGAGGGGCGAGAAGCCAUCAGAGGCAAAUGGCAACUAAUGUAAUGCGAGAGAUAGGGAUUGUGAUGGGUACUUGGUAUGUUGACUUUUUGCGUAGACUCCCCGGCAACGGCGCCAGAAAUUCUUCUUGCUACCUCUUGAGCUUGCUUGGUUUUCCCCGAAGAGGAAAGGAUGAUGCAGCAGAGUAGCGUAAGUAUUUCCCUCAGUUUUUGAGAACCAAGGUAUCAAUCCAGUAGGAGGCCACGCGCAAGUCCCUCGUACCUACACAACACAAAGAGCUCAACGCAACCAACACGAUUAGGGGUUGUCAAUCCCUUCACGGUCACUUACGAGAGUGAGAUCUGAUAGAUAAUAUUUUUGGUAUUUUUGGUAUAGAGAUGCAAAGUAAAAGUAAAAGGGCAAAGUAAAAAGCAAAGCAAAGUAAAAGUGAUGGAGAUUGAUGUGAUGAGAAUAGACCCGGGGGCCAUAGGUUUCACUAGUGGCUUCUCUCAAGAGCAUAAGUAUUCUACGGUGGGUGAACAAAUUACUGUUGAGCAAUUGACAGAAUUGAGCAUAGUUAUGAGAAUAUCUAGGCAUGAUCAUGUAUAUAGGCACCACGUCCGUGACAAGUAGAUCGAAGCGAUUCUGCAUCUACUACUAUUACUCCACUCAUCGACCGCUAUCCAGCAUGCAUCUAGAGUAUUAAGUUAAAAACAGAGUAACGCUUUAAGCAAGAUGACAUGAUGUAGAGAGAUAAAUUCAUGCAAUAUGAAAUAAACCCCAUCUUGUUAUCCUCGAUGGCAACGAUACAAUAUGUGCCUUGCUGCCCCUUCUGUCACUGGGAAAGGACACCGCAAGAUCGAACCCAAAGCUAAGCACUUCUCCCAUGGCAAGAACUACCAAUCUAAUUGGCCAAACCAAACGGAUAAUUCGAAGAGACUUGCAAAGAUAACCAAUCAUACAUAAAAGAAUUCAGAGAAGAUUCAAAUAUUAUUCAUAGAUAGACUUGAUCAUAAACCCACAAUUCAUCGGUCUCAACAAACACACCACAAAAAGAAGAAGAUUACAUCGAAUAGAUCUCCACAAGAGAGGGGGAGAACAUUGUAUUGAGAUCCAAAAAGAGAGAAGAAGCCAUCUAGCUACUAACUAUGGACCCGAAGGUCUGAGGUAAACUACUCACACUUCAUCGGAGAGGCUAUGAUAAUGUAGAAGCCCUCCGUGAUGACGGCCCUCUCCGGCGGAGCUCCGGAACAGGCCCCAAGAUGGGAUCUCGUGGAUACAGAAAGUUGCGGCGGUGGAAUUAGGUUUUUGGCUCCUUUUCUGUUUGUUUGGGGGUAUGUGGAUAUAUAUAAGAGGAGGAAGUACAUUGGUGGAGCGUCGAGGGGCCCACGAGGCAGGGGGCGCGCCCUAGGGGGGGGGGGCGCCCCUACCCUCGUUACCGCCCCCGGCGUUCCUUGGCGUAGGGUCCAAGUUUCCUGUGUCAUAUUCGGGAAGAAAAUCACGUUCCAAAAAGGAUUUUUCUGUUUGGACUCCGUUUGAUAUUCCGUUUCUUCGAAACACUGAAAUAGGCAAAAAACAACAAUUCUGGGUUGUGCCUCCGGUUAAUAGGUUAGUCCCAAAAACAAUAUAAAAGUGGAAAAUAAAGCCCAAUAUAGUCCAAAACAGUAGAUAAUAUAGCAUGGAGCAAUCAAAAAUUAUAGAUACGUUGGAGACGUAUCACUGAUCUUUUAAAGUACUUAACGAAUGAAUACAUUCGAAAGCAAUAAGUGCGUUAUCUGAAAUUAACCUUCCAGGGAUAAAGGAACAGAGAUCAUACCAUCCAGAAUAGGUCUCAGUCUAUUCACUAGGCACUUCGAAAUAAUUUUAUAAAUGACAUUGCAAAGGCUGAUCGGUCUGAAUUCCUCGAUGGACUGAGGAUUUUUCACUUUGGGAAUAAGAACAAUGGUAGUAUCAUUUACAACUUCGGGCAUAAUUCCUGAUAUAAAGAAUUGCUGAACCGCCUUAACAAUGUCCUGAUUAAUUAAACCCGGUCACUCUAUUAUUAGUACUUCACUUCGUUGUCACCCCGCUCCAAAUCCUUUUGGUGUUCCCUCCAAAUUUGACAAUUUGUUGAGUCCCAUCAUCCUAGAUAAUUGCUCGUGCAUCUCAACGGGGCACAAAUAUUUAUCCUCAUGCAUAUGUUGCAAUUGUCAAUUGUUUAACCUUUUUUAGCCAAAAUGUUUAUGUUAAAUCAGUUAGAAUUGAAUAGCACCCUAUCUAGAAACAUUGACCUGCCAACAAAUAUGGAGGUAAUGAGAUGCGUCUCUCAUUUAUAUACACAUAAUAGUUAAAACAUUUGCAUUCAAGCAAAUAUGGGAUGUAAUGAGAGGCGCACCUCUCAUGUUUACACACAACAGUUACAGUAGCAGGUGAUGAAACCCCUAGAUUCUGGAACAUUUUCCCGUCGAUGAAAAUGCGGAUACGUAGGCCUCUUUGGGAGGCAAAAGCAUUUCAAUGUUUCAUUUUCUUUUCAACCACAUACCCAAGUGCGACUCAUAUUUUUGUUACUUUUAGCGUUUUUGAGUUGUUUGUAAAUUGCGAUCCCUAAUCCCAUUCCACUAACAAUUAAUCAAUCCAUUCUUUGUAGUUGCACCUCAUAAUUGUGCAGAGCCCUAAUCCCAUUCUACUACCCAUUAAUCAAUCCACGCUUUGUAGUUGCAACUCAUAACUGUGCAGAGCCCUAAUCCCAUUUCACUACCCAUUAACCAACCCAUUCUUUGUAGUUGCAUCUCAUUGUUUCUAAAUUGCGAGCCCUAAUCACAUUCCACUGCCCAUUAAUCAAUCCAUCUCACAAGUUUAGUACAUUUUUUUCCACAAGUAUAGCAGUUGAAUAAUGCCCAAGAACCUGAAAUCAUUCACUUACAAAGAAAGAGGGAAGACACAAUACCGUCUUGUUAGCUCACCAGUAAACAAUUUGAGUCGGUGACGAAGUGGAUUACCAAAGAGAACACAGGGGAAACCAUCGUAUCAGUGUGUGGCAUACUCGACUCCUUCCUUUCUCAUCACUAUCGUUGUUCAUGUUCUCUGCUGGUUGCUGUUCAAGAAAGAACAUUUGUGAGGCCAAAUAACAAAAAAAAAAAUCUUGUUUAUAUAGACAUAAUAAAAUAAAUGGUGAACUACACAAAAAUGUCUNNNNNNNNNNGGGGGGGGGGGGGGCGCCCCUACCCUCGUUACCGCCCCCGGCGUUCCUUGGCGUAGGGUCCAAGUUUCCUGUGUCAUAUUCGGGAAGAAAAUCACGUUCCAAAAAGGAUUUUUCUGUUUGGACUCCGUUUGAUAUUCCGUUUCUUCGAAACACUGAAAUAGGCAAAAAACAACAAUUCUGGGUUGUGCCUCCGGUUAAUAGGUUAGUCCCAAAAACAAUAUAAAAGUGGAAAAUAAAGCCCAAUAUAGUCCAAAACAGUAGAUAAUAUAGCAUGGAGCAAUCAAAAAUUAUAGAUACGUUGGAGACGUAUCACUGAUCUUUUAAAGUACUUAACGAAUGAAUACAUUCGAAAGCAAUAAGUGCGUUAUCUGAAAUUAACCUUCCAGGGAUAAAGGAACAGAGAUCAUACCAUCCAGAAUAGGUCUCAGUCUAUUCACUAGGCACUUCGAAAUAAUUUUAUAAAUGACAUUGCAAAGGCUGAUCGGUCUGAAUUCCUCGAUGGACUGAGGAUUUUUCACUUUGGGAAUAAGAACAAUGGUAGUAUCAUUUACAACUUCGGGCAUAAUUCCUGAUAUAAAGAAUUGCUGAACCGCCUUAACAAUGUCCUGAUUAAUUAAACCCGGUCACUCUAUUAUUAGUACUUCACUUCGUUGUCACCCCGCUCCAAAUCCUUUUGGUGUUCCCUCCAAAUUUGACAAUUUGUUGAGUCCCAUCAUCCUAGAUAAUUGCUCGUGCAUCUCAACGGGGCACAAAUAUUUAUCCUCAUGCAUAUGUUGCAAUUGUCAAUUGUUUAACCUUUUUUAGCCAAAAUGUUUAUGUUAAAUCAGUUAGAAUUGAAUAGCACCCUAUCUAGAAACAUUGACCUGCCAACAAAUAUGGAGGUAAUGAGAUGCGUCUCUCAUUUAUAUACACAUAAUAGUUAAAACAUUUGCAUUCAAGCAAAUAUGGGAUGUAAUGAGAGGCGCACCUCUCAUGUUUACACACAACAGUUACAGUAGCAGGUGAUGAAACCCCUAGAUUCUGGAACAUUUUCCCGUCGAUGAAAAUGCGGAUACGUAGGCCUCUUUGGGAGGCAAAAGCAUUUCAAUGUUUCAUUUUCUUUUCAACCACAUACCCAAGUGCGACUCAUAUUUUUGUUACUUUUAGCGUUUUUGAGUUGUUUGUAAAUUGCGAUCCCUAAUCCCAUUCCACUAACAAUUAAUCAAUCCAUUCUUUGUAGUUGCACCUCAUAAUUGUGCAGAGCCCUAAUCCCAUUCUACUACCCAUUAAUCAAUCCACGCUUUGUAGUUGCAACUCAUAACUGUGCAGAGCCCUAAUCCCAUUUCACUACCCAUUAACCAACCCAUUCUUUGUAGUUGCAUCUCAUUGUUUCUAAAUUGCGAGCCCUAAUCACAUUCCACUGCCCAUUAAUCAAUCCAUCUCACAAGUUUAGUACAUUUUUUUCCACAAGUAUAGCAGUUGAAUAAUGCCCAAGAACCUGAAAUCAUUCACUUACAAAGAAAGAGGGAAGACACAAUACCGUCUUGUUAGCUCACCAGUAAACAAUUUGAGUCGGUGACGAAGUGGAUUACCAAAGAGAACACAGGGGAAACCAUCGUAUCAGUGUGUGGCAUACUCGACUCCUUCCUUUCUCAUCACUAUCGUUGUUCAUGUUCUCUGCUGGUUGCUGUUCAAGAAAGAACAUUUGUGAGGCCAAAUAACAAAAAAAAAAAUCUUGUUUAUAUAGACAUAAUAAAAUAAAUGGUGAACUACACAAAAAUGUCUGAUUAAUCAUACAAUAAGCUGGCCCUACUCACAUGAAAAAUACAGGAAACAAUAUGUAUAUAAUGAUUUUACCUCAUAAUGAAUUUUUGAGAAUCAUAUUAUAUAUGUAGAUGGCUGCACUCCAAAAGUAUGAAACUCCUCAAGUUGAAAACCUAAAAUAAGGGAAAUUCCUUCGAACAUUUCAACAAAAGUAGAAAAGGUUAUAUUAGCGACCAAUCGGGAUUCUGGAAAGUUCAGCACAUCAGUCUCUUUCAGGAAAUGUACACCUGCAAAGCAAUUAUUUCACUGAGUGAACCCUGAACUCUUUUGUGUAACAUGUAAACGAUUUUUUUGUAACAUCUAAAUAUAACAUUAAAUUACAGUAGAGAAACAUGGUGUACAUGCAUGUGCCGUAGGUGGGCCUAUGGGCCUACCAGAAUCACAAGAAAGGCAUUUAGUUAUGAGAACGUCUUUUUUGUAAAGGCCAGAGAGGUUACAUAAUGAAAAGGAGAUUCAGCGAAAAGUACCACGUACACAAGACACAUGUAGCUGGAGAAUCACUGAACCCUCAAUCAAAAAGCUAAUUGUCAGUGAAAAUCGAACGGUAACCUUCCUCGCCUGAUCUGAAUGAACUUUUGUGAAUCAGAAAAAAUCUUCAGCGUCAUUUUUCAAAUAAAUAAAUACUGAUAAGACCACAGCGUCCUACAAUCUGGACGCAGCUCCUCUGACGUACGGCCCACACACUGCCGUGUGGGCCCGGACCCACCUGUCAGUGGCCCCACGUCAGGGGCCGUACGUCAGGGGAUCCUGCUCCCUACAAUCUCCAUUGGAAAUUGUCAAGUUAUUUAUUAUUACUCAUUAUAUUGUUGCACGUCACAUAUUUCAUUGCCGGAAAAGAUGGCCAUUUCUCUUCCGGAGGUAGAAGAAGGCCUCUGCUACUUGCUCAUUUUUCCCUAUUGUUUACGGCAUGCCACAAGAUAUUAAACGCCAGCUCGAUCACACUGUCCAGCUCGCGGUCCGCGUCGGUCAGCGGCGACCUCUCGCCGGCCCAGAGGACGAACAUCUUGUCACAGCGCACCGGCGUGCCACGAACCUCCAGCAAGG
rnacentral:lncRNA from 1 species